rnacentral:lncRNA from 1 species
GUGACUUGGACCUGAAGAAAUCACCAUGGUCUGAAAUUUGAACUUUACUAGUCUCAAUUCUAAGCCAAGUUAUCACACGUUUUGGACUUAAACAUGUUUAAACAAGUCUCCAAAAGUUAAUUGACUCUUAAGACGCAUGAUUUGGCUGAGUUUUGAUGGAUUGCAAGUCACACUUUUCUCACUUCAUGGUCAAAUUCGUUUUGCACGAAUUAAGCUUGAUUCCACACGUGUUUAGAUUCAAACACAUUCCCUAUAAAUAUAGGAAGCUAUUGCAUUCAUUUCUAAGCUUUUGAGAUCCAAGAAACCCCUACUUCAAUAUGAUAUUUUCCAGAAAAAUUCAACUAUCGUGUUUUGAAUUACAGCUUAUUUAAAUCCAAUUGCUUGAUUCCAUUAGCAUCUUUGGUCUUCUAUGAAGCUUUUGCAACAAUUCCCAAACUCUGAGACCUUUUGAAGUGACCAGACCAGAUCGAGCUUCAUCAACUUCUAAUCACCAUUUAGACAUGGUAGUUAUGAGCAUCAUUUAAACUCAAACAAGUUACCACAAUGUAGUCAUUCACUCUCUGGUGAUUUCCCCUAACUUAUCUGGUAAUGAUUGAUCGUGUUCAUCAUUUAAUUUAAUUUUUCAUGCUUACUUGCUUUUGAAACUUGUCUGAAAUUUCCCAUGCUCAGUUUAGAUAAAUGAAUUUUAAGCACGAGAUUGAAUUCGUGAUGAAGAGACGAUCAUAUUGGUAGUGGUCUCGUGUUCUGAAUUUACCAAACGAUGAAAGUCUAGUGAGGGAUCAUCGGGUAAAAUGAUCGGAGUUUAUCUCAGGUCAUCUGAGUUUGCUUCCAUGUUGGAAAAUUGAAAUGUUUUGAUUGGUUUAAUUUGAAUUAUAUCUCGUGUUUCAUUUUUGCUAAUUUCCAACGUGCGUCCCAACCUGGGGAUUAUUUGAUCUGCCACGUCAAUUAAUGAGGUCAGAUCCAACACCCCGUGUUUUUUUUAUUUCUUUUUUCAUUUUAAAUUGCAUUUUGCUUUUAAAAGUCAUAAAAAAAUCAUUUUACAUCCAAAAAAUCCCAAAAUAAUUUCUAAAAUUCUCUUUCAUUUUUCUUCAUCUGAUUCUUAUUUUUUCAUAUUUUAUUUCAUUGUUUUUCUAUUUUUCAUAUAUUUUCUCUUUUUUCCUUUUUUUUGAUUGGUUAAAACUUACUUUUAUGCAUUUUUAAAUUCUGAAAAUUUUAAUUUAUGUUUCUCAUUUUAUUUUCAACCUUCCAUAAUUUUCUUGGCUAUUUAUUUAAUGUUUUGAAGGGCUUUAUGGAUUCUAUCUUUUAUUCCCUUUUAAAAUUUAUUUAAAAAAUAUUUUUAAUACAUUUUAUUUUAUCCUUUUGCAUUUUAUAUUUGUUUGACUUUUGUUGACUUUUUUUGAUCUUGGAUCAUGGUUGUUUUAAUUAUAGAUCUCAUCAAACUCAAUGGAUCUUGAAUGUUUAUAGGGUGAAAACCCUAAUCCACAAAAAUGGAUGAUUGAUUUUGAUGAUGACUUAAUCAAACCGUUGAUCACAUUUGCAUGUGAUCUCUUUUGUCCUCUUCUUCAUCUCAUUCUUUUCCUCUUGAUCAAUUGGAUGGUUUGUGUCCAACUUGCUCAUGAUGAACUUCCAUUAUUUGAAAUUUACCUCAUAAUUGAUCAUAAAUUAUUUAAGGUACUUUGGAUUGAUGCAUAAGUUUGUCAUAAGUAUCAUGAAGUAUGAAUUGAAGUGAUGAACCAUCCUCUUAGCAUUUGUGCUUGAUCCAUCCUCUCUUUUUUUGCGUCAUAGCUUUAGGAGAAUGAUUUACAUAUCAUCUCUCUAGCAUGUAUUAACACAAACAUUAUUAUUGACCAGCCUCAGAUAGUUGUGACAUCUACAUAAGUCCAAUUAUGAUUUCUUAACAUAACGCUAAAUUUGUCCCUAAAGCAAGUCAUUUUCAUAACUGAGAUUGUAAGUCUCCUACUCCUCAUGGUAUUGUGUGAUAAAUAUUGUCUCCUUUUCACUUUUGAGAGCUAGUGGCAUACUUAUUGAUUUUAUCCAAAUUGGAGUCUUUCUCAUAAGGGUGUAGAGAUCCAUAUUUCAUACUUGUGGGUGAAUAGUUUAUUGCUCUCCAAAAAAUGGCAAAAUCAUCUUUCUCUUUUUUUUAUCACUAAUAUCACUUACUAACAUAUUAUUGUAUUAAUUUUACUUUGAUGUCAUUUAUCUUAUGCUUUUUAUUUUUGUCACUUACUUUAUAUUUUAUAUUUUUAGCAUCUCAUAUCAUAUUAUUUGUGCGUAUGCUAUUUGCUCUUUAUCCAUUUGGACUUCUUAUUUUCUUUUAAAAGACAUUAAUAAAGGAAAACCCCCUAAAAAGAACUUGGUUCUUCUGAUUCAUGGACAUGUGGUUACUAUCCUUAGCAUUGUUGUGGAGUUAUGGACUUAGAAUUAGGAUUUUGAUAUUUGCUUUGGGGAACUUGUGAUUUGAGAUCUUGGGAUUCAUCUGGUACCUUUGACUUUGGACUUCCUUUGAAGACUUGACUUGCUUACUUUGAUUUCAUCUUAUACAUGAUAUAUUCUUUGCUUAUUUGGCUUGCUUGAGGCUUAAUCCAAAUGAGAGAAUUCUUGCUAGACUUAUGUCAUAAAGUUUGAUAUCUCUUGGUUAGAUUUUUCCUCCAUAACUUUUACUUUAUGCUCUAGGAUAGUCUCUCUUUCUCCUCCUCUUCUUUACUUUUCAAAAUCUUCUCUCUCUUUUUUAAAAUUUUCUUGUUUUCAAAUUUGAACCAUUUUCUCAAUAAACCUUGACUUUUGUCAAGUGAUUUUCAAAAAAAAAAUCUUAAUAAAUACUAAUACAUCUUAAUCAUAUUAAAACCCAAUUUCGAAAGACUUAAAAAAUGCAUAACUCAUUCAAAUUAUUUUGUGCACUUUGUGCACUUUUUUCUUUUAAAAUUCUUUUUCAAAGUUUAGACAUGAGUCAUUUCCACAGUGAGAUGUAAUUCUCCUAUCCUCAUAGUAUUGAUGAUAAUUCUUUUCCAUCUAAGAGACCAGUGUCAUACUUGUUGAUCUUUAUCCAAGUUUGAGUCCUUCUCAUGGUGAUGCAAAGUUCUCAUACUUGUGGGUGACUAGUUGAGUGUUCUCCUUAAAAUGACGAAAUGUCUUUUCAUUUUAAAUGAAUCAAAACAAACAUUUUUGCUAUUUUUAUCACAAACUACGAGAUUUUGAUCCUCCAUUACACUUUAUUUAUGGUGUUAAUAGUUUCCCUUGCCAUAACUAACCCUCAGACCUUUACCUUUUCUUAUUAGUUUUGUUUAAAAAAAAUAGUUUUGUCUGUACUUUUUUCAUAUUUUAAAAAAAUAAUAAAAGUGUGGUGGCGACUCUUAUUUUGUGAGUUAAAUUAAUCAAUAAUUUAAUCUCAAUUUUUUUAUCAAAUACUUAUAAUAUUAUAUAUAUACACCCCCACUUUGAGGAAUGAUAUUAGAUUUAAUAUGGUUUGUUAUUCGUGUAAGAUUAGUUAGCCCCUAAGGUGUUAGUUUUAGCUAAUUAAUUGAGUUUCUCUCGUAACUCAUAUUGCUAUAUAUACUAGCUAGUAUCUUCUUACUUUCUCUUCCAAUAUUAAUAAUAAUAAAUAAUUGAGUUUGGAUUUAUUUGUAUCUUAUACAGCUCAUACAUAUUCAAAAAUAUAGACAAAAACUAAAGAACCUCGUAUUUAAUUAGCAUAAAAUUUCGAUGUUUGAAGAAUUAUAAUCUAUCGAAUAAUAUCAUAUACGAUAUAUUAGACAAUUAUUGUACUUUUGACACUUUUUCCCUUCCUAUUCUUUGCUUUUAGGAAAACACAUGGUAUAUAACAUCACGAAAUGAAUAUCUCACGAAUAGAAAAGGAAUUGUGUAAACAGCUAGCACUAUAUGCGAUUCCAUAAAUAAAAAAAUUGACACAGGUUCAUUAUCGAGUAUUAUAAUAAUUUCACUAAUCUAAUAAGGUUAAUGCUAACAUGUGUCCCAAGGACACAAGUUAAUGAUACAUUUAUAGAAAUAUUCUCUUGGAAUGCGUAUAUUUGAUUUUUUAAAUUUUAAAAUUUAAUUUUAUUCAAUACAAAAUUUUUAAUAAUAAUAACCUUAACUUGUGCCCGAAUGACACAAGUUAGCAAGACCCAAUUUCUAUUAUGAAGCUACCCAAAUUUAUCAGUUUUUUCUGUCUCAAAAUUCUUACACACAUCCUUCUAUUUUCUUUACUCUCCUUAAAUAAUUGGCUGCAUGUGGCAUGUCUCUGUGAAGUGACCCACUAGUUUUGUCUGUAUACAUAUAUAGCACAUGCAUAUAUGCUUUAUUAUUUGCUUUCAGGGUAGUGCAUGUUUAGCUUGGGCCACUUUCAUGCAUCUUUUGGGCAUCGUAAACGUUCGUUUGUCUUGCGUAUAACUGCGUCAUGCUCAUAUUUGAUUAAUACGCCAUGCACUCUCAGCCAUUUUAAAUGUGACAAGUGUUGAUUUGUGCCUUUGUUUACUUUACAAGUUUUCCUGCGUCUUCCUCGUGAUCCCAACAUGCUCUGUGAAUUUGGUUCUUAUGUUUCUUCUCUGCCACAUGGCACAUGUCACAAGGCCACUGCCAUGAAUGAAGUAUGGAAGACGAACCACCGAGUAAAUGUAACAUUUAUGGUUGUUUGAAUUAAUGGCUGAUUUUUGUACUUUGUGCAAAAAGGUGAUUCCAUAUAUGAGUUGGAGCCUACACGUUUUUUAUUCCUUGGGCAAAGGAGGUGUUGAAAGAAUGGGACCAUAUUGUCCAUCAAAUAGGUUGUUUCUUAGACAUGAAAACAUAUAAUUUUUAAGGGUAAUGCUAACUUGUGUCCUAGGGGCACAAGUUAAGAAACAAAUGAAGAAAUAUUAUCUUGGAAAUUGUGUAUUGACUUUAAUAAAAAUAUAAAAUUGUUUUUUUAAUUGUUUUUUCCAAUAUAAACUUUCUAUAAAUGACUUUCUUAACUUGUGCCCCUAGGGCACAAGUUAGUAUUACCCAAUUUUUAAUAUUAAAAUUAGCAGGAUUUGUCGGUACAAUUCCUCUAGAAACAUGUCUUUCAUCCGUCCAUUUAUAGUAAUUCCGCAUAAUGUAGAAUGUUGGUGCGGUCAUGCUAUCUUCCUCUUCAGAAUCCGAAGAAAGUAUUGGUGAGUCUACUUAUGAUUGGUCCCCUUCAAUCAGACUCGCUUCUCUAGCUGCUUUUCUUAGAGCACAUGCAGUUCUUUCAAUUUCUGAAUCAAAUGGUAGUAAUGAUGGUCAUGAACUACGCAUACAUAAACAAAAAAUAUCUCAGUAGCAUUAUGAUAAACAAGAAAAUAAACAAAAAAUAAUGAAAACUAAUUACGAGUUUAAAACAGAAAUAUUAGGACGGUUAUGUUGUAUAUUAGAAUUCUCUUAUCCUUCUUGUUAUUAUAUGAUGCCUUGUAUGAAUGGUUUAAUCCUUAUAAUCUCACGGAGAACUAACAAAGUCGUUAUAGUCGAUCCCUCACGAAAUAACUCACUAACCACUACUAUGAGUUUUCUAUCCCUAGUCCGCCAGCGUAAGCAGAGUUAGGCGAUAUACAAAACGGUAAUUUCCUAGACCAUCACUCGUGGUCUCCUAUCCCUAUUCAACCAGCGUAAGUAGAAUAGUUUUCUUAUGUCCAACACAUAGGUUAAGGGUCAGUAAUCCCUAUGUGUCUAAUACAAGAUUAAUAUAGUAUCUCAAAUAAAAAUAAUUAAGAGUAAGAAACAACUUAAUAAGAUUAAAAUUCAAAGGAUUCAUACAAAGUCAAACCAACAUAUAAUGUCAACAAGAUUGAAUAAGGUUCAUCAUCACACAAUCUAACCUAGAGAAGUUUAGCUACUCAUAGUCAAAAUUACAAUAUCAAUUGAAUAAAGAAGAAUGGCGUAUGAAUUCCCUUGAAGAAUUGGCCUCUAAUGACUUUAAUACUCCCAAAAUCACCCUUUGAUGCUAUAAAAUCGUGCUUCAAUCUCCAAUUUUUGUAACCCUUGUGAAACUGCAGAAUUUCCCCUCUUAAAGGUGUCUGAAUGGACCAAAGUGUGUCAGAAAAAGGCUCAGAAAAGUGACCAUCGCGCGUGUGAUACCUUGCAUUGCGCGCGAUGCAACUUUUAAUGCCAUAUCGCGUGCGCGAUGGUGGAUGCGAUUAUUUUCGAAGCUUCACUAUUUUUUGCUCAUUUUUCACUCAAAUUUUCACUAAGUCCAUAAUUUGGACUUAAUUAUUUUUCCCUCAUUCUUUGGUCAUUCCUUCUCAUGUUUGCUUGACUUUCACUUGUUUUUCUCUGAUUCUUCGACUAAAUAUAUGCAAUGAAGAACUGUCCUCAUGCCCUAACACUGAAGAUGUUACUUGAAGAUUCAUAGUUGAAGCAAAUAUCUAGAAUUGCUUCACUAACUCAGUGUAAACAGGUCCUUUGAGACGUUCAAAGUAACCUUCUCAGCCUUGAGUUCUAAUACCUUCAGUUAAGUCAUACCCAUUUUCCUUAAGGUUUUCAACAUCCACCAUUAACUCAUAGAGAACUUCUAACUGAUUAACUGGGGUAGAAAGUGUAAGAUCUUGAAUUCCUUCUCUUAUUUCCUCUAGUUAUUAAGGUUGUUGAGCAUGUUAUUGUUGUUGAGCUUGUUCUUGAGAUUGUGUCAUUUUCGAAGGAGAACAAAAGUUUGGUUUCUAAAGAGUUUUUAGGCUUAAAAGAGAGAAAGUGUAUGAAGUGAAUAUAGCGAAAGUGUGUGAAGUGAGUGAACUAGGUUUAUAUAAGGAUUUUGCAAUCAUGGAUAAAAUAUUGAACAGUGCACAAGAUCUGACACGGGGUAAAGCGUGAAUAUUUUACCUAAUUCCAUGAAAUUUAAUCACCCAAUGUGUCACUCCACCAUUCAUACGCCUUUCAAUUUUCUAAGACAAAUGACUUUAAAACCAUUCCACUAACCAAGACUAAUUGGUAACUAAUUAAUGCAACAACUGUUUAGUAUCCAGAAGAUAGAACGUUUAACCAAACAAGUUCUGACUAGAUACUUAUGAACUUAUGAAACCUUCUCACUUCAGAAGACUUAAAUGUUCAGAGUCAAAAUAUCUCAGAGUCUCAUUAAACCAUUCUGAGAAAUUAAACAUUCUGAGAUAAUCAUCUUUUUCAUUAUGGACAAAAAUCCAUUUUUAAAUUCUUUAGAAUGAAAACAAACUUAUCUUUAGCAAGGGGUUUUGUAAAGAUAUCAACCCAUUGAUGGUUUGUAUCAAUAAAUUUUAAGUUUAAAAUUUCCUUCUGAACAUAGUCAUGUAUAAAGUGAUGUUUAUUCUUGAUAUGUUUAGCUCUAGAAUGUAAAAUGGAAUUCUUAGAUAAACAAAUAACAUAAGUAUUACCACAGAGUAUAGGAAUGUUACUCUCAUAUAUUUGGAAAUCUUCUAGCUGAUUUUUCAUCCAAAGCAUAUGAGUGUUGUAUUCAGAGACUGCAAUGUAUUCAACAUCAGGAGUUGAUAGUGCUACGGUUGAUUGCCUCUUGUUGAACCAUGAGAUCAAGUUGUCUCCCAGAAACUGACAUCUUCCAGAAGUGAUUUUUCUUUCAAGUCUAUCUCCAUCAUAAUCAGCAUCACAAUAAUCCACUAGAUUAUACUUUUUUGAUUUUCUAUAACACAAGCCAAGGUUAAUAGUACCUUUCAGAUACCUAAAGAUCCUCUUAAUAGUUGUUAAGUGGGAUUCUCUAGGAUUUGAUUGGAAGCAGGCGCACAAAUAGAGACUAAACAAAAUUUCAGGUCUACAAGCAGUUAAGUAUAAGAGAGAACCGGUCAUUACCUAUGUAUACCUUUUGCUCUACCUUUGCACUUAACUCGUCCUUCUCAUGAAUACAUGUAGGGUGCAUAUAAGUCUUUGUUAUCUUGCAUUCUGGCAUGUCAAACUUCUUCAGAAGUUCUUUAGUGUAUUUACUCUGAUGGAUGUAUGUUCCUUCUGGACUUUGAUUUAUCUGAAUUCCCAUAAAGAACUUGAGUUCUCCCAUCAGACUCAUCUCAAAUUUUGUCUUCAUAGACUUAGCAAAUUCCUUGCACAAAGCAGAAUUAGCAGAAUUAAAUAUGAUAUCAUCCACAUAUAUUUGAACAACAAGGAUAUCAUUUUUAAAUGUUUUAUAUAACAAAGUUGUGUCAACCUUCCCUCUGGUGAAAUCAUUUUCUAAAAGAAAAUUGUUCAGUCUUUCAUACCAUGCUCUAGGAGCUUGUUUUAUACCAUACAACUAUUUCCUAAGUUUGAAAACAAAAUAUGGGUUUUUAUGUUUUUCAAAACCAGGAGGUUGGUGUACAUACACUUCUUCAUUUAUGUAACCAUUCAGAAAUGCACUCUUAAUAUUCAUCUGAUACAAGAUGAUGUUAUGAUUAACAUCAAAUAAAAUUAAGAGACGAAUAGACUCUAACCUGACAACUGAUGCAAAGUUCCCGUUAUAGUCAAUCAACUCUUGCUGACUAUAUUCAUGUGCAACCAGUCUAACCUUAUUUCUUACUACCUCUCCUUAUUCAUUCAGCUUGUUUAUGAAGACCUACUUUGUUUCAAUGACAUGAUUUCCUUUGGGUCUUGGCAGAAGAUCUCGCACGUCAUUUCUAGAGAAUUGAUUGAGUUCUUCUUGCAUAGCCAGAAUCUACUAUGUGUCCAAAAGUGCUUCAUCAACUGAUGUAGGCUCUAUCAGGCACACCAAACCCAAAAGCGUUUCUGCAGAAGGUUUAAAUAAGGAUCUGGUUCUGACUGGUUCAGAUUUAUCACCCAAAUAAAUUCUUCAGAGUAUGAGGAUCUUUGUUUGUGCUUCCUCAGAGGAGUCUGGACUUCAAUAGCUUCUGGUUGAGUAGUUUCAUAGUCUUUUUCCUCAGCAUCUUUUGCUUCUGAAGGUUUACCUUCAAAACCUGAAUAGGUGAUCUCCAUAUCUGCAAACUUCUCAACUAGAUUUGACUAUUCAAGUUCAAGCCUAUCAUCAAAUAUAACAUGAAUUGAUUCCUUAAUAAUUCGUGUUUAUGUGUUGUAUACUCUAUAGCCUUUAGAGCUUUCAGAGUAUCCUAACAUAAUAUACUUAUGUGCCUUAGAAUCAAACUUGUUAAGAUUGUCCUUCGUGUUCAACAUGAAACAAGAACAUCCAAAAGGAUGAAAAUAUGAAUGUUGGACUUUUGAUUCUUCCACAAUUCAUAUGGAGUCUUACCCUGAAUAGGUCUUAUAAAGAUCCUAUUUUGAAUGUAACAUGAUGUGUUAACGGCCUCUUCCUAGAAGUGCUUAGCCACAUUAGUCUCAUUGAUCAUGGUUCUGGCGAUUUCUUGUAACGUCCUAUUCUUCCUCUCUAUAACUUCAUUUUGUUGUUGAUUUAUAGGGCAGGAGAAAUCAUGGGAAAUGUCAUUUUCAUAAAAAAAAAAUCAAAAUCUUUGUUUUCAAAUUCUCCACCAUGAUCACUUCUGACUUUAACAAUUAUGAGAUCCUUCUCAUUUUGCAUUUGAGAGCAGAAGCUAGAAAACACAGAAUAUGACUCAUCCUUGGGUCUUAGAAACUUAACCCAUGUUCAUCUUCUAUAUUCAUCAACAAUUACGAGUCCAUACUUCUUACCAUUGACAUAAACAGUUUUCACUAGUCCAAAAAUGUCAAUGUGCAGAAGUUAUAAUGGUUUGGAGGUGGAAACAACAGUUUUUUACUUUGAAAGAAGUUUUAGAAAACUUUCCUUUAUGAAAUGCUUCACAAAGAGCAUCUAAAGCAAACUUCAGAUUUGGAAGGCCUAUGACUAAAUUAAGCUUAUUUAGCUAAGAAAUCUUUCUCAUGCUAACAUGGCCCAAUCGUCUAUGCUACAUCCAUUGCUCUUCAUUUAUAGACAUUCUACAUUUUAAGUUUUGACUUUUUAAAUAAGAAAGUCUAAUUUUGUAAAUGUUGUUCUUCCUCUUUCCAUUGAAAAGAACUGAGCCAUCCUUCUGACUAACAUCUUUACAGGACUUUUGAUUAAAAAUAAUAUCAUAACCAUUGUAACUUAAUUGACUUAUGAACAAAAUUUUACGCAUCAAUCCUUCAACUAAUAAAACAUUAGUAAUAUAAGUGAGAGAAUUGUUACAUAUUGUUUUAGAGCCAAUAAUCUUCCCUUUCCGAACCCAACGACACCUCUAGGCUUAAGUUUCGGGCUUUGGAACAUAUGUCUUCUUCCUGUCAUGUGCUACGAGCAUCCAGAGUAUGGAUACUAUGGUUGGUGUCUUAACUGCACUGCUAAAGAUGUCUAUAAGAUAGAUUAUCUUAUCCUUAGGCACCCAUAACUUUCUGGGUCCUUUUUGGUUAGUCUUCCCAGAGUUUUUUGCAAACUUGGGUUACUGUGCAGGAUAAUCAUACAUGUAUGCAUAGUUGAAAUAGGAAUGAGCUUUUUCUUUAGCCUUAGGUUUUGAAAAGGUUUUACCUUUAGGAACAACACCAUUUUGUUUACCAGAAGGGACAAAAUAGGAAUGAAAAGUUUUUGGUUUAUCACCUUUUUCAGAAGUAGAUUCUUCAUCAGAAUCAAAACCAAUUCCUCUUGUUCCAUUUAUGCUUAAGCCAUAAAUCAUUGAAGUCAUUAUGUUUCUAUUUAGGCUUCUUGCAAGAAAUUUUUUGAAGGAUUUGUCAUAUUUCUUUAUGACAUCAUCAAAGUCUGUAGAGGUUUCUGAAAGAUUUUCCUUAUCAAGUUUGUAACUCUUUCUCUGAAGCACAAAGUUAUCAUUUUUCAAAAUAAAGUUUUCUUCAUUUAAACUUGAGAAUAUUUCUUAACCUUACAAUAUGCUUCUGACUCAGAUACAUGAAUCUUUUUCAUAUCCUUGUAUUUUUUUUUCAGAAGCUUAUAAUACUUAUCCAGAACUUCUAAUAAAGUGGAUUCAAGUUCAGAGCGAGAAAGUUUAGCAAAUACCUCUUCAGAUCUGACUCAGAUUUUGAUUCUGAUUGAAUCUUCUUAGCAUGAGCUUUUAUGCAUGCCAUCAACGCCACAUUAGCUUGCUUUUCCUCAGAGUCAUCUUCUGAGGAUUCUGAAUCAUCCCAGGUAGCCAUCAGACGCUUCUUUUUUCCUCAGAAGUCUUUCUUCUUAGGUAUGUCUUUCUUCAGUUUGGGACAUUCAUUCUUGAAAUGACCUGGAUCCUUACACUAAAAAUAGAUAACUUCCUUGCCAGCACCUGACUUAUUUUUUCCAAAUGUAGACUCAAAACAUCCACCUGUCCUUCUGGAGCCUCUGAACUUGCCUUGCCUUUUCUUCUAGAGUUGAUUGACACGUCUGGAAAGAAGAGACAGUUCAUCUUCUUCUUCUGAAUCCUCUUCAGAAUCUUCAUUUUCUUCUGCUUGAAGAGCUUUAGUCUUUUCAGACUUCCCCAAACACUUCAGAGCAACACAUUUUCUCUUUGUCUUAGGCUCAUCUUCUUCAAGCUCAAUUUCAUGACUUCUUAAAGAACUAACAAGUUCUUUAAAAGAGGUGUUGUUCAGAUCCUUUGAUAACUUCAACACAGUUACCGUAAGUCUCCAUCUUUUAGGUAGACUUCUGAUGAUCUUCUUCACAUGAUCAACAGUAGAAUACCCUUUGUCUAGAACCUUCAGUCUUGCAACAAGAGUUUAAAACCUUGAGAACAUGUUCUCAACAGUUUCAUCGUCUUCCAUCUUGAAUGCUUCAUAUUUCUGAAUCAAGGCAAGUGUCUUGGUUUCUUUGACAUGGGUGUUUCCUUCGUGAGUCAUCCUCAGAGAAUCAAAUAUGGACUUUGCAGUAUCUCUGUUGGUGAUCUUUGCAUACUCAAUGUUUGAAAUUACGUUCAACAAGAUAGUUCUAGCUUUGUGAUUAUUUUUAUAAUCUUUCUUUUGUUGUUUCGUCAUCACUCUUCUUUCUAUAUUAUUGCCUCUAGCAUAUACAGGAUGUAUGUAGCUAUCAACUACCAUAUCUCAUAGAUCUAUUUCAUGACCUAGAAAGAAGCUUUCUAUUCUAUUUUUCCAUUAAUCAAAUAUUUCUCCAUCAAAAAUAGGAGGUUUAGCAUUAUAGUGAUCUCUAUCAACUACAUCAGCAACUGGAGGUGGGAUAACAACCAUUGUGUUUCACCAACUGGAUCUUUAUCUAACACGGUUAGGUGUUUGGUAAUCUUAUCAAUACCAGAAUCGGAGCUCUGAUGCCAAUUGAAGGUGACAAGAAAUACAAGAAAUGGGGGUUUGAAUUGGGUUUCUAAAAAUGAAAUCUUUUUAAACCCAACACAACAAACAGUAAACAAAGAACAAAAAUAAAUGAAACAAUUAUUUUUAUCCUUGUUCGUUGUUAACUAAGCUACCUCCAGUCCACCUACAAAGGUGAUUUUGCCUCAUCAAUAAUGACUUAAUCCAUUCUAACCAAACUAUUUACAGACACACAAAGACUAACUGUCAAUGUCUUCUUGAGUAAUUCGGACUAUACCUUAGUCACUCAAGGAAUACAAACUCAAUCAAUGAGAUUACAAGAAAUGUGUUUACAAGAUUGUUUCUAAGAAAACAGAUUAUACAAAUUUAAGUACAAUGAAUUUAUCACACAAUAACGAACAAAAGCUCUAUUUGUGUUUUCUUUUCUCUAUACACAAUAAUAUUGUUCACAUAAAUGAUGAAUUCUAUAGCAUAGUUAAUUAGCAGUGUGAGCAUUAGCAUCUUAUUCAUUCUUCCAAGUCUCUUUUAUAUAGGCGGUGAAAAGAUUUGUUAGAGGGUAGAAUUGGAAUACUAAAAUGAUGUUGUAUCCUUGCAUAACGACUUGCAUAAUGGGAGGCAAAAUGGUACAAUAGCACAAUCCUUAGCCCACAAAAUCAACGUAGUAGAAGGAAUAUUUGAUCUUGUAUUGUGUAUUAUCUUCCUUACGUAAAAUCUUUUGAUAUUAUUUUCUAAUCUUCAUAGGCUUCUGAAUGAAUUUUUUUGAAUCAUGUUUAGAAGGAUCAAGAGUUCGGUUGAGAGAAACUUCAGAAUCUUGGUCUUCAGAGUCUUGACACAAUUCCUCAGAACUUGGUCUUCAAAGUCUUCAGAACUUAGUCUUCAAAGUCUUCAGAACUUGAGAAUGCAGAAUUUUGAAAGCUUGAUAAACCUUUAGAGGCUCUUCUAUCAGGGUCACAGUCAGAAGCUUUAGCACAAACGUUCAUCAGAACCAUUGUUUAAGAGCGUUCCAGAACUUGACAUAUUCUUAUAAAGUGCAAUUUUGUAUCCCUUUAGAGUCAAAGUAUGUUAAGUACAGAAUUUGAUGACGUCACACGCCAAAUCUUUAGAGUCAAAACCUGUUAGAAAAAGCUACACACUAGACAAAAUCAUUAGGGUACAAAAUUGUUCUCUAAGAAAUAGUUUAUUGUUAUCAUCAAAACUAAAGGCCAGAUGCAAAACCAAAUCUUGUUCUCACAAGGCUUUCUUCAGUAUCCCUUCCAUCACGAUCUUCACUCUCUUGAUAGUUAGAUACGAAAGUUACACCUUUGUUUUUCUUUUUUGAUCUUCCAUUUAUAGACACUUCAAAGGUUCGAAGCAAGCCAAUGAGUUCAUCAACUUUCAAUGUGCUAAAGUCUUGUGCUUAUUCAAUAGGUGUUACAUUCAUGUCAAACUUUUUAGGAAAGGAUCUGAGGAUUUUUCUGACCAACUUCUCUUCUGACAUCUUCUCUCCAAAGGAAAAAGAAUUAUUGGAUAUGUGAUUUGAUUUAGUUCAGAAAAUAGAUGAUUCUGUUGGAUAUGAUCUUCUCCAUAAAUGUCUCCAACAAUAAGAUAUGAUUUGUUAGAUUUCAAAUUCAAAUUUAAAUCUCCUUUUAAAUCUGUUUUGAACAUCUUUAGUUGUCAAACAAAUCAAACACAAAUUUCUAACCAUCUGACGCAUCACUCCCUCCAUUCUCUCGAAGGCGCCAGGUUUCUCUUAUUCAGGCGCCUGAGGUAGCCAAUUCACUAGUUCCACCUUCUACUGUAUAUGCUUCUGAGUUUGUGCCACCUCCUACUACUGAUGCUGCUGAUCUAGUGCCACCACCUCUAAAGGGUGAGGCUAUUAAGGAUGUUGAGCCAGAGGCAUUUCGAGGAGGCCCUGUUGAUUUGUCGUUACUCCAUCUGUACCCAGACCAUAAUGACAUGCAUAUCUGGAACUGAGAGGUAGCACUAGUUGAAUUCAUUAUUUUUUAUUUACAUUAAUUUUAAUUGACAAAUUUCUUAUAUUGAUUAUUAUUUUUUUCAGGAGCGUGAUCCGCAAAAGUUUAUUAACCACGGGCAGAAGAUUAUUAGCUUGCCUCAGCCGAAUGAGGAUUGCUUUCAGGCAGUUUUGUCCUUAUCUGCCCUGAAGGACUUGUGCAUGACCGGUUAAACUACGAUCAACCAUGGGAUUUUGAAUAUUUUGACCUAAGGAUAGAUAAUCCUCAAGUGUUGAAUUGUACAUAAUACUAACCACACUUAAACUUUACUAACUUUGAUUACCACUAACCAUUGUUACUAUGACUUUAUCAUUGUUACUUUGUUAUUUACUUUUAUGUUAUUACUUUGUAACUUAUAUUCAAGUACUCAUCAUAUUCAUUGUAUAAACUCGCCAUGCAUGUUUAUUAUUGUCAUCAUACUUUAAAAACAACAAAAACAUUAUAAAAUGAUAAGACCAAAAAGUUUCAUUCCACUUGCCAUCAACUUGGACUUAGAGGAUCUCAUUUAGGACCUUUGCUUGUAGGAUCUUUCCAUACUUUAUGAUACUUUGUUAACUUUAUAUUUCAUAUGUAACUUGUAUAUCGGUUGUAAGAAUGGCAUCAUGGCACUACCUUAGAGAGACAUGUUUGUAAGACCAUUAUCCUUUGUUUAGCAAACACAAGGCUUUUACUUUUACAAACACAAGGCUUUAUCUUGGGAUAUCUUACAAUGAUACAUUUUACUUUCUUAUUGGUUAUUUUGUAUUUCUAUUACAUUACCCAAUUUCAUAAUAAAAUAAACAAACCCUUGAUCCAACAUCAAGCAGAAUUUUCUUAAGUUAAAUUCAAAAAAACAAUAAAACUAUGAUUACUAUUGUGCGCCACGAGCCUUAAAUGAUGGGGAAUGAGUAAGAAUGGAGUUUUCCUACCCUUACUCUGAUUAUUUUGGACGCAAGAUGCUUGCCUUGUUUGUCUAGAAUUUUCACCUUCGCCCAUAGACUUUAAUGAAAUCUAAUCAAAAACUCUUUUUCAUAAACCCUUGUUUAAGGUAAAAAUAAUACAGCCCAUCAAACCUCAUUUUUGUGCCUUAGGGAACCACCUCGAAAACCCUUUUCUCAAAGGUAAAAUCAGCCAAACACACAAACAUUUUCUACUCCAAACUACGGAGCUCUGAUUCCUCAUCACCUGAUGAGUGAUAGUAGGCACAAGGUCCUCAAUCCUUGGCAAGCACAAUAAUAUAAAAAACCAAAACCCUUUCUUUCACACUCUUUUUGUAAAUAAGAAUAAAUAAAAAUAAGCGAGAUAAAUAUCCACAUACGCAGAUAACCUAAAUGGUUCCUAUGGAGUACCAUGAACGUGAGGGGUGUUAAUACUUUUCCCUUGCAUAACCAACUUCUGAAUCCAAGUCUCGGUUGCGAGACCGAUUCUUUAUUCGUAUUUGCACUUCCCGUACGCAUCCUUUUUCUUUCGAGGGUUUUAUCGACUAUUUACCCUUUCCACUCGAUAGAGGAAUCCAAAAUAAAAUUCGAUGGAGACUCUUCUGAUUUUCCUUCUCUCUUAUCUUUGAUCGAGGAGUCAUUCUUUUGUUCAGUCUCGGUUCCUCGCUCCGAGAAAAUCCUGGUAGGAGUGUUACCUAUAUCAUUUCCUUGUCUGUUGACUAGAAUUAUUUUACGUCAAUAUCCUGAGAUUAUUAAGCCUUAAGAAAUUCCAGGCAAGAAGGUGGCUCACUGAACCUUGACAAGAAGCUAUUUAUUGGGAUACAUGUCCCAGAUAUUUUGGUGCCUCAAUAUCAUAGUCAAAUUGCUAGUGGGAGUUCUUCUCCCAUCUCCAAAGCCACCAUAAAGAAUUUACUACUGGAUUUAAUGGAAGUGUCAAAAUCUCUACAAGACACAAUAACUUCAAGUACAUUCAAGAAGAAGAAGGUAAAUGCAUUAAUCAACUUGAUGAAGAAGGAAGUUGCAUACAAAUAUAGGGAUGAGGAAGAGAAUUCUAGAGAAAGAGUGAGUAUGAAGAAGAAGUUCACAAUGAUGAGAAAUAGAAAGAAUAAUCUACUAGUGAUGGACAAGUUGCCAGCUCAGAAUCAUCAAGUGAAGAAUAAAAAUCUAGCUUUUAAGACCAAUGUCUUCAAGUUGUAGCUGCUAGUAAUGUAAUCAAGCUAAUGUUGUUUUGUGUUGCAUUUCUUUUCUAGGCUUAUUUUUUGGUUUCAAUAAUAACUUUAACUUAUGAUGGUACUUAUCUAUGUUGACAUCAACUAAGUUAUUAUGCUCUUGUAUCAUGUUCAACAUUUGUUCUCAUAACUAUUGAUGAUUAUCUCUCCUGGUCUGCUAUGUGUAUGUGCUAACAUACUAACCUUUGUACUAACUACCUAAUUUUUUUAGGAACACUUUUGCCAAAUUAUGGCAAAAAGGGGGAGUAAUGGUGUGUAAGGGAAGUAAUGGUGUGUAUUGUGAAUAUUGACCUUGUGGUGUGUUGUUGUUGAUGUUGUCUGCUUAGUACUAACUAGAUGUUGUGUCUGGUACUAACACUGUUGUAACUGGUACUAACUGAUAUUUUGAAUCUAUGUGCACACAUGCUGAAGCAUUUAGCCUAGCAUCUAUACCUCAACUCUGUGGGACUGUGCAUGAUGAUUUCCUUAUGUGUUAGUAGUGGCUUCUGAAUCUUGACUAUUGACUACUAAUUGUGUGUGCAGACAUGACUAACUAAUCAUGAAUGAUUUUAUGACUGACUGUUAUGAAGCAUUGACUUUUGUGUAGCAACCGUUUGACUUUGACCAUGUUUCUGAUUUUAUGUUGUUGCUACUCUGAUUUCUGAUGUUGUGAUAUGUUUGCUAUGAUGUGUGUUGUUAUUGGUAUUUUUGAUGUUGUUAUUCUUUGGUUUUGUGUGGUGUGCUUAAUGCUAAACUUAUGGUGCACACCUUAUAUGUUUUUAAAGAAUGUUGUUUUUCCAAAAUUUUCCAAAGGGGGAGAUUGUUGUUCAUUUUGGAUUGACUACAUUAUGCAAAACAAUAUUGUAUGAACACAUAUUAUACUUCUAGCUAACAUGGCACAUCCGACUCCAUAUGAUUUUUGUGAAUAAAGGACACAUGUGGGAGCAAAUGUCCCAUCAUGUGGCUCGUAUCUGCAGAACUAGUUGUUUAUGGUUUGACCCGUAUUUUCUACAGUAUUGUGAAACAUGAUUGGUUGCUAUCUUUUAGAAAUGUUUGUGUGAUUUAUUUGAAAACUAGUUGAAGAUCAAAUCAAUUUAAAUGGGGAUUUUAAUUUUAAUUUGAAUUAAUAACAAAUCAUAUCUUUUGUUAGAGACUUUUGUGGAGCAAAUCAAAUCCAAAAAUAACUGCUAUUAUUCUGGACAUAAUUAAAUUAGAAAUCCAAAGGAGAAAAGCCCAUAAUUACAUUGCUAUUUAAGGAGAAACAAAUCUCAUGUUUGAGAAUGGGUGUGUGCACUAGGAUUCAUUCUUUUUGCUAGGGUUUUUUGUUGAGUUUUUCUUGCAUAUCGCAUUAUUGCUUAAAUUCAUAUCAUAAGGCAUAGUAGUUUGUUUGUUUAGUUAAGUUUGAUUCAAUAUUCAUCAUAGUGUUUAUUGAUGUUGAUCACUUGGGAUUAGUGAUUGAGAGAAAGUGAAAGGUGAUUUUCAUAUUUAGGGAGAGUCCUAAUAGAAAGAUACUAAGGGUAGAAUUAAGAAGAGGGACAUUGAACAAUGGGCUUGUUCAUCUAAAACAUUUUGUACUAAUUCUAUUAAAGAAUGAGUUUCCUUCCUUGGGUAGAGUGUCCUCCAUGCGUAUGUGUUGUUUGCACUGAACUAGGUUAUCAAUUCUCUUGUGUUCUUUAUUGUUUUACUUUGUUUAUUUAAUGUUGUCAUAUUGUGUUAUAACUGGUUUAACAAGUUGGACUAGUUGUUCCAAAUAUCUGGUCCAACAUUUGUCCCAUGAGGAACAGAACUUCACUAAAUAUGACUAAAUAACCAUUUGAUUCAUUCCUAUUAAUAAUUGAUAUUUGUUGUAAGACUUUAGACUUACACUUGGUAUCGACGGAUCCUGACUUAUAUAUAUAUAUAGAUAUAUAUAUAUAUAUAUAUAUAUAUAUAAGAAUAAGUUUUUUUAACUUACUUCAAAUCAUAGUUUUUGAAUUGAAUCUAAUCUAAUGUUCAAUUAGUUUUUUUUAGUUAAUUAACCAUUAGAUUAGAUUCAAUUCACAGAAAUUGUACUUAUCUGAAAUCAGCAAACAAACACAUAAAAACAACCAAAACAAAUAAAAGGAAUAACUCUACAAAGGGAUAAAAUAUACUUUAAGUACAACUAAAAAAACAGCUAAGAAACAAGCAACAAAAAAGAUAAAAAUAUCAAGCAAAAACCUCACCUCUACUAAAGGACACAUGAUAGAUCACAAUCCACAAGAACCGUCAUCAAUAGAAAUAAAGACUUCCAUAAGAAGCACCAAGAAUACUCCAUCACAAGGAUUAAGUCAAAGACUCUCAACCCGUUAUUAGUUUAGAUAAAGGAUAGGGUUCUCAUGUCGAACAAAGAAACAUAAGAGUUUGUCGCAGACCUACCAAAAUACCUUUUUCAUACAAGGAAAAUACAUGUUUCUUCCACAUUCGCCACAUUAGUUGAUGUACAAGAAAAAAAAACAAUAUCAUUAUGAAAUUUCCAAAUCGACCAGACAACAAAAUUCCAUAUCCUUGUAAGUUCACUUAUAACCCUAGGAUCCCUAUGAUGAACCAAUGACAACCCAACCACCUAAAAAUUGUAUACCACGCGGACGAAGCCAUCUCACAAGUAAGAAAUAAAUUAGAAAUCAACUCUAUCAUCCCCCCAUACAUAGGAAAAUAAACCUCAGCUAGAUCGACUAUAACCUUAUGCGUAAUUAGAUUCUCUAUUUAAGGGAUUUUAUCUUGCAUAAGUUAUCAAGAAAAAAUCAUUACUUUAGAAGGAGUCCUUCUAACCCAAAUGAAGGAAAGAGACAAGUUUCCAUUAUGGGAAGAGGGGCUGGAGGGAUAACAAGCUCUAGUUAGGUCGAAAAAAUUGAGGAAUCCAAAAACACCUCAUCUCGAGCAUUACGUCACCACCACAUAUCUCUAACCAGAAAGAUUCAUUCCUUGAAUAACAUAAUGAAGAUUGGAAACCCACUGCUCCUCAUAGACGAAAAAACAUCUCAUCCACCUCGGAUCUCAAACUAGAGCAUUGGGUUUCCAAUGGCUAACCUAUCCCACAUACCACUUUUUUAUCAAAGAUACUAAAGAAUCUAGGGAACUUAAACUUAAGGGAAAUUGACUCAUCCCGCGGGUCAUUCCAGGAAGAAGUGUGACGAUCUGAUGCUAGUUUCCUACUAAUAUUAACCCUAAACCAAUUAGAUGGAUCUUCUUCGCUGGACCAAAGGUGGGACACUUAUUUACAUCAAAUGGACGAGGCACGAAAACCUGACGUCGACCCCACUCAAGGAUGGGAUAACUAUAUCGACAUAUCUAGUUGCUAGGAUCUCACACUAGAGACUUGAAGCACCAGAAAUCAACAUUCAUCUUUAUGUGGGCAAAAAGGCCAAGUUAACUAACCGAAGAUCCUGAACCCCUAAACCACCUUUUUUUUCUUAGAUUUGUAGUCAUUAACCCAUUUAACCCAAAAAAAUUAGAAACACCUUUCGCACCAUCUUAAGGGAACAUUCUUUGAAUCCUAAUUAACUUCUUCCAAAUAUUAGAAGCAUGUUUUAGAAAAGACAAGAAGAAAGUAGGAAUAGUAUUAAGCACAUAGUUAAAAGGAAACACCCGCUCCCCAAACUGACAUACAUAUGCUUUCACGAGCAAAGUCACUUAAAUAAAAGAUCAAUCAAUGGGUCCUACAUAACAUCAAGGAGGGUGUUGGCCCCACAUGUAAUCCAAGAUACCUAGCUUAUAGUGGAGAAAACCACCAUAUACAUAAAAAAUAAAACAGGAUCCACAUUGACCUUUAUAAGACUACUCUUUCGCAAAGUUAACCUAAAGGCCUAAUGAAAACUUGAAGCCUCAAAGAAGAGCCUUACUAAGCCAAAAACUUUCAACUGAAUGACCGUCCAUGAUUAAGGUGUCAUUCGCAGCCACCCUAAAAUUUGAGAAAAGAUCCAACUAUAUCGCCUUGCUAAACAAACCACUUAGUUUUUGCGCCACAAAUAGGAAAAGAAAUGGAGCAAGAUGAUCACCUUGCUUCAAACCCCUUUGAAUAUUAAUCUCGUGGUCAUACAACUAUUUCCCUUAACACCGCAAGAUUCUCUACAAAUAUUCAUACAUGCAUUUAAGAUCUCCAUUUAUCAAAUAAACCGAAUUCGAUAAACAUAUAAUCCACAAAACUCCAACUAACUGAAUCAUACACUUUCUCUAAUUCUACCUUAAAAUGAGACAAACUUUUUAAAUCUUAUUUGCUAAAUCAAUCAACUCAUUCACCGCCAAUACGACAUCGACCAACAACGGAAAAGAUAACCUUUUCUAGUCUAGUAGUCAAGACUUUACCAACCAAAAUAUACAAUCCUUGGUCCAAGUAAUUCCAAACUUACACUUUGAGCCAGUUGUGAUUCAUGCACGUUUUUAAUCUGGGUUUGCAUCAAUGAGUCAACGUUGAUCCAAAUUUUAACUUUUCUUCCAUUUUCCAAUAAAUAAACAAAAUAGUAGGUCACAAUAGAAAACUUGUUAGAGUCAUUCUUCUACGUUUCUCAAACAUGUCACCAAUAUACUAACCUCAAAGAGUUAUCAGAGACGUGCACAUCAAAUUGAUUAAUUAAUUAAUAAACCAAAAGAUAACAAGUCGGCGAUCCUUAAAUAUGAAUCGUUCUUCUUUGUUGAAUGUUUUGUUUCAUGUGAACGCUAAAUAGAAGAUUCGGUUGCUGAGACAUAGUUUUCAGAUGAGGGUGUGAUAGUUCAACGUUUACCAGCUGGAGUGAAUAAAAACAAGUAAAAUAACUUGACUACGAACUUUUAACAACACAUUCAAAUACGUGUUGCUAAAUUACGUUAAUUAAUUCUUUUUCAAAAACGUACAGCCGUACAAACAACUCUUCGUGCGAUGUAGAAACGCAGCGAAUACGAGUGAUGAUAAUCUUUAGUCUUUAUGUCUUAGUCGCUUUAGCAUAAAGCAGUCGCUACCGUUCUGGAUUUUCCAUUCCUAAAUUUUGGGGGGCAGUGGCUUUUCUUUAUUUUGAAGGGUUUUCUUAAUAUGUAAUAUAUUUAUUUGAAUUAUGAAUUUGAGUACUUCCUAUCUUAUAUUGCUGAUUUUGGAAAGCUUCUUAGUUUCACUUUCUUGGGUUGAAUUAAAAAAUUAUAGCAUAAUUAUCUUAUUAAUUUUUGUUGAAUUUAAAUAUAGGUGAUUAAAUUUCAGAUUAACUAAAAAUAGGAGAAAUGUUAGAUUUAUUAAAGAAAGAUGACAUGUAUAUAUGACACCUUAAAAUUGUGAGUGUGGUGUCAAUAUUUUUUUUGAAUCCUGAACAUUUAUCCUCUUGAUAUUCGGUAACAAAUUGUAACAAAGUUAUGGUUAAAUUAUGUGGAGUAGUGGAUGUGAGAUCCUAAUAUGGAUCAAGGCUAAUGACUCACAUUUUUUUAUGGAUAUAUGGUGUAAAUGUCUCUAUAAAUGAUGAAAAUAUUGGAUUUAUAAGAUAUAUGAUUCAUAUAUAUGACAACUUAAAGGUUUGGAUGAAUAUUUGGUGUCAUGUACGUUUAAUUUAUUGACUCUCUCGGACUAUCCAACAAUUUUAUAAAAACACUAUUUUUCUCAUUUUUAAUUUCUGAUAUAAAAAAAUAGGCAAAAUUACACAAGAUGUCUUUUAAGUUAUUUUUUUGUAACAUACUGAUCCUUUAAUUUUUUUGUAACAAUUUGCUCCUUUAAGUUACCAAAUAUGUGCACUGUUUGUUAUCUUUUUUAACAGAGUGAGUGUAAUACUUGUGGAUCCAAAUAUUUUGUGAUAUGAAAAUGAUGAAGUGCAGCCCGGAAUACAACAGUCACAACAUUUCUAAAUUUUCAAAAUAUGGGGAAAAUGAUGUAGAAAUCACCCUAAAUGACUAAGUUGUUAAAAAAAACUUAAAUGACCAAUCUGUUACAAUUUUUUUUAAAGGAUCUCUUGUGUAAUUUUAUCAAAAAAUUAAUAUAUACUUUGGGAGAAUUGUAGUGUGUUUUGGGAUAUUUUAAUUUUGUGUAUUCUUCGAAUAAGAGGAAUGGUGGUUGUACUUGUCAAAAGGUACAUGUGUGUGGGGUAUUCAUAUUUGAGUAAGGGAUACUCAAAGACAUUUAUAGUUAAGAGUGGUUAGGACUUGUUCAUGAUGGUGAGAGAUCUUGUUUGGUGACGUUUUUUGAAUUGUAAUUCCUUGUGUCGAAGCAGAUUUCUCGACAGAACAAGGAAGUGCCGAACCACCUAGUAUGUUAAGUUGUGUUAGUGUGUCGAAGUGUCGAAGCAUGUUGCCUCACAUAAGAUUUCGACUUAUGCUUAUUUUAGUAGUGUUAGCUAUUUUGGGCUUUUAUAGUUUUGCGUUUUUGCUUGAGGUCCAAGUUAACCUAAAUCUAUAAAUAGAGGGAGUAACCCUUAUUUUUGUAAUGAAGUGAAUAGAGUAUUCAUAACAUUGUAUUCACAGUAUUUUGCAGUUGCAAAGUGAAUUAGAAGUUUUCCACAGUUUGUGGGAAGAGAGAAACUCUGCAGAAUUUUAUUACUCUUCUCCUUCAUCGUUCUUUACUUUCUUUCUCCAUUGUUCUUCUCUUUUCAUUACUAUUGUGUGGGUAAUAACAAUCUUGUUCAUCAAGAUUGAUUGAAAUUCUCCAUAGGUUUUGGUGGAUUUCCAACAACGUUUAAGCUGGUGAAAGAGGGUCAAUCACAAAAGAACGUAUGAAUUGCUUCAGAUGUAAGACAAUGAAAGCAUAAUCGAUUUCUUCACCAAGGUUAUGAAACUGGUGAAUCAAAUCAAGGUAUGUGGAGAAAUGUUGACAUCAAGAUCUGUUGUUGGAAAGACCUUGAGGUCGUUGGCUCCAAAGUUCGACCACGUGGUAGUAGCCAUAGAAGAGUCGAAAGAUUUGUCAAAAUUGAAAAAGGAAUGGCUUCAAGGGACGCUUGAAUCUCAUGAACAAAGAAUGGCUGAAAAAGCUGCAGGAAAGUCGAAAAGUGAUAUGGCUUUGCAGGCUCAAUCAGCAAAAGAAAGAAAAGGCAAAGGAAGCUAGAAUGGCAACAAAGGCAGAGGAGGUUACAAUAAUUCGACUGGUCGAAAUCAGCAAGAAGGAAACUGGUUGAAUCGGAGAAAACCCUGGAACCAAGGCAACCAAAGAGGUGGUGUUGCAGGUAGAGGAAGUGGUGGUGGUCAAAAGUCAGACAAGAGUCACAUUCAGUGUUACAAUUGUCAGAAGUAUGGUCACUACUCUAGUGAUUGUCCAGAAAAGCAGAAGAAUCAAGAAACUUAUGCAAAACUGGCGAAACAUGAAGAAGAAGAAGAAGAGAUGUUGUUGAUGGUUACAACAAGAGAAGAAGAGAGAUUGAAGGACCAGUGGUACUUGGACUCAGGAUGCUCAUCACACAUGUCUGGAAGGAAAGAUUGGUUUGUCAACAUAAAUCCCUCAAUGAAGAACAUGGUGAAAUUUGCAAAUGACAACACUAUAGCAGCUGAAGGUGUUGGUGAUGUUCUGAUUAUGAAAGAUGACAAGAUGAUGAGAGUUCUCGACUCAAAUGGAAGGUUGAUCUUGAAGGCUCCAAUGUCUCAGAAUAGAACCUUCAAGAUUGAACUUAAUGUGAUGGAGCAUAAGUGCCUUGCAACAUCAGCCAGCAAAGAUGAAUGGAUAUGGCAUUAUAGACUUGACCAUCUCAAUUUCAAAGACAUCAGAGAUUUGAAGAGAAGAAAUAUGGUUUUAGGAUUACCAGAAAUCGACAUUUCAAAUGAAGUGUGUGAAGAAUGUGUUUAGGCGAAGCAGCAUAAGAACAACUUCAGUAAGGAUGCAGGAAGCAGGUCGAAGGAAAUUCUUGAAAUCAUAUACUCUGAUGUAUGUGGUCCUCUCCAGGUGGAUUCGAUUGGAGGUAACAAAUACUUUGUUACAUUCAUAGAUGAUUUCAGUUGAAAACUGUGGUCUUACCUGAUCCAGAAGAAAAGUGGAGUGAUCGAGGUAUUUGCCAAGUUUAAAUCUAUGGUCGAAAGACAGAGCAAUCGAAAGAUCAAGAUUUUGAGGACUGAUGGUGGUGGAGAAUAUGUGUCGAAAGACUUCGACGCAUUAUGUGUGAAAUAAGGGAUUGUGCAUGAGGUGGUGCCACCCUACACUCCACAGCAAAAUAGAGUCGCGGAAAGGAAGAAUAAAACCAUUAUGAAUAUGGUUAGAAGUAUAUUGAAAGGCGAGCAUCUACCCAAAGAAUUAUGGGGAGAAGUUGUGUCGACUGCGACAAAUAUCCUGAAUAGAUGUCCGACGAAGAAGCUAGAAGGAAUCACGGCAGAAGAAUGUUGGUCUGGUGUCAAGCCUAGCUUGAGUUAUCUAAGGGUGUUUGGGUCUAUAGCACAUAGACAUGUGUCAAAUCAGUUGAGAAGAAAACUUGAUGAUAAGUCGAGUCAGAUGAUCCUGAUAAGAUAUCAUUCGACUGGAGGAUACAAGUUGUUCUACCCAGAGAAUAAGCAAGUAGUGAUCAGCAGGGACGUGAUCAUAUAUGAGCUUAAGGAGUGGGAUUGGACUGAGAAUGUCAAGAAAGAUUCAAUGAGAAUCUUUUAUGAUGAACCAGCUAGUGAAGUCAAAAGAGAAGUUCGACAAGAAGAAGUCAGAGGUGAAGCAGGCCCAAACAGACCUCAAAGAACAAGACACAUGCCUGCAAGGUUGCAAGAAUGUGUGAUUACAUCAGAUGACGUAGUCAAUAAAGAAGGUGAGUUGGUACAUUAUGCUUUCUACAAAGAUGUUGAACCUCUCAAUGCAUCUGAGGCAUUGAAAGAUUCAAAAAUGAUGAAAGCAAUGGACGAAGAGCUAAAGUCAAACAAAGUCAACAACACUUGGUCACUUGUCGAAUUGCCCCAAAACAAGAAGGCAAUCGAUAUGAAGUGGGUAUACAAAGUGAAUUUGAAUCCCAGAGGAGAAGUGACUCGACACAAGGCGAGACUUGUGGCGAACGGAUUUCUUCAGAAAGAAGGAAUCGACUUUGAUGAGGUUUUUGCACCUCUUGCUAGGAUCAAAACAAUCAGGUUGGUUGUUGGUCUAGCAAACAUGAACAACUGGAAGAUGUGUCAGAUGGAUGUGAAAUGUGCAUUCCUUAAUGGCCCCUAAAAUGAAGAAGUUUAUGUUGCACAAACAGCUGAGUUUGUGAAACAUGGCGAAGAAAGAAAGGUGUACAUGCUGCAUAAAGCCCUGUACAGACUUAAACAAGCUCCAAGAGCUUGGAACAAGAAGAUAGAUGGAUUUCUAAGGGAGAAGGAAUUUGUGAAGUGCACAAGUGAACAUGGAGUAUAUGUAAGAAUAAGUAAGAGUGAAUUACUUAUACUAUAUCUCUAUAUCGAUGACUUGUUGAUAACAGGUAGCUGCAAGGAGAUCGAAGACUUCAAAGGUGAUCUCAACAAGGAAUUUGAAAUGUAAGAUCUGGGUGACAUUUAUUAUUUCCUUGGCAUCGAAUUCUACAAGAGUGGUAGAGGUUUGAUGAUGCAUCAAAGAAUGUAUGCAGGCGAAAUACUCAAGAGAUUUGAGAUGCAAGAUUGCAACCCAACUUCGACUCCAACUGAGCCCAAAUUACAACUGUCGAAAGAUUCAGAUGAAGAUGAUGUCGACCCAACCCAAUAUAGAAGACUUAUUGGGUCACUUCGAUACCUUUUUCAUACAAGGCCUAACUUAGCAUACAGUGUAGGUAUGGUGAGUAGGUCCAUGCAGAAGCCAAAGGUAUCACAUCUAGCAGCGGCAAAGAGGAUACUAAGGUAUCUGAAAGGAACUCUCGACUAUGGCAUUUUGUUUCCUGCAACUGACUAAGGAAAAGAAUUUAAAUUAAUGGGAUACACCGACUCAAACUGGUGUAGUGAUGCUGAGGGUCAAAAAUCCACAGUUGGCUAUAUGUUUAUGCUAGGUGGUGUACCAGCUGCUUGGAGCAAUUACCAUGAAGCUCGACGGCAUGUCAGCUAUCAAUCUGGCGAAGAAUCCGAUAGCACAUGGUCGAAGAAAGCAUAUCGAGAUGAGGUUCCAUUAUCUUCGAGAGCAUGUAGCAUAUGGGAGGAUGAAUAUGGAACACUGCAGAACUAAGAAUCAGAUUGCAGACAUCAUGACAAAGGGAGUGCAGGUCGAAUUAUUCAGAAGGCUAAGAGCUAUGAUGAAUGUAGAUAGCUUAGACACAAUGAAUUAUGUGGUGUGUUGAAUUGUAAUUCCUUAUGUCGAAGCAGGUUGCUCGACAGAACGAGGAAGUGUGGAACCACCUAGUAUGUUAAGUUUUGUUAGUGUGUCGAAGUGUCGAAGCAUGUUGCAUCACACAAGAUUUCGACUUAUGCCUAUUUUAGUAGUGUUAGAUAUUUUGGGCUUUUAUAGUUUUGGGCAUUGGCUUGAGGUCCAAGUUAACCUAAAUCUAUAAAUAGAGGGAGUAACACUUAUUUUUGUAAUGAAGUGAAUAAAGUAUUCAUAACAUUAUAUUCACAGUAUUUUGCAGUUGCAAAGUGAAUCAUAAGUUUUCCACAGUUUGUGGGUAGAGAGAAACUCUGCAGAAUUUUAUUACUUUUCUCCUUCAUCGUUCUUUACUUUCUUUCUCCAUUGUUCUUCUCUUUUCAUUGCUAUUGUGUGGGUAAUAACAAUCUUGUUCAUCAAGAUUGAUUGAAAUUCUCCAUAGGUUUUGGUGGAUUUCCAACAACGUUUAAGCUGGUGAAAGAGGGUCAACUCACGUGAGGUGAGAGACUCUGUAUGUAAGUGUUAUGCUGAGGGUAUAAUGAUUUGUUCAUCUUCCUUCAAGGGGCAAGGUAUUUAUAGAGGCUUUUGGAUCUAAGGUUUUCUAGAAACUCAUAAUCUCCCACUCAAUCAACGGGAGACCGUUGAAUCCCUAUUUCCUAGGGGGCGUCGAUUGUAACGCACUAAUUUUUAAUUAAAUAUUUUAUUUAACUAUUGGCAUAUUUAUUUGUGUGUUAUUCGAAUUAUUUGUGUUAUUUGGUGUUUAUGGGUAUUUUGGUAAUUUAAUAAUUACUGGGGUUAUAGGACUUGGGAGUAGAAAAAUAAAAUGAGAUUUAUUAGAAUUAUUAGAAAUAAUUAGAUAAAUAUAGUUAUUUUGUAAUAAUUUGAGAAAAUAGAAAUUUGGAGAAUUUUGAUUAAAUAUUUAUUUAAGUAAAAUAUUUAUUAAUUAAAAUAAUAAUAAAAAAUAAUAAUUUCAAAAGUUUGGGUAAAAACUAGAAAUUAUUGAGAAUAAGAGAUGAAGUGGUGAAAAUUUGAUUAAGUUAUGCCAAAAAGUGAAAUAACCAAUAUAUUAAAAAUUACGGUAAAAUAAAUAAGAAGAUUUAAGGGGAAACUAGGUUUACAGUACGUGUGGUUGAGAAUGGAAGAAAAGAGACAACUAAGGAAUUGGAGAAGGGAGAGCUAGGAAGCCAUAGCCAAGAAUUUGAAAUUUUCAAUUUCAAGGUAACGAGGGGGGAAGAUUUUCUUAUUGAUGGGUGAUAAUAGGCAGUCAGGGUGGUCAGGGGUCCUUACCUCCCAUCGGCGCCAAAAGCUAUGCUAUUUUACCUUUUGUAAUGUGUUUGGCCAAAUAAGGUUUUUGCAAAACCUUAUUGGCCUUAUUUUCCCAUAUGUGAUUUAUUUUACUGAUGUCAAUUGGGAUUUUGAAUAAAUCUCAUAUUGUCACCGUAUUUGAUGCAUUAAAUGUUUGAUCAAAUAAGGUUUGGGAAAAACCUUAUUGGCAACAGUUGAUGAAUGAAUUGCUUUGUCUGAGUUGUUCAGAAAACCAAAGGGGAUUUGUGAUAAAUCACCUAGGGUCACUAUAGUGCUAUUGUUUGUUGAUUUAAUAUUAUUUGUUGUUGAUUGUGAUGUCAUGACUGUUGAAUUGUGCAUAUAUGUUGUAUUCAUACCUUAGAGUUCUUGAGAGAUGUCUGUAAUUUUGAGUGACCCUAUUUGGUCGUGUUUCCCCAAAAAAAUCAGAAAACCUUACGAUAUGUAUUUCCAAAAUUUCCCAGAAAAUCUUAGGAUGUGUAUUCCCAAAAUUUUACAGAAAAAUCAAAUCUUAUGAUGUAUAUUCCCAAAAUUUCCCAGAAAAUAUUACAAUCUGUUUACAAUUAAGAAUAUUGACCCCUUAGAAAAGUUACUUGCUAGUUGACAAUAUCUGAAAGAGUAUCUACUCUAAGUGUGGUUUUCGUUUUACCCCAACAAGACAAGUGAGUCUCGCAAGCCAACACUAUGCAACCACAUCAUAUCUUAAUGUUUUUCUCGAGACUCGGGUAAAAAGUCUACCUCACAAAGUAUACCAAACAAUUAGGCACAAAUGAGAUAAAGAAGAAAAACAGAGGAAGAAAACAAACAAAUAAUAUCAACAUUUAUCGCAAAUUAAACUAAAUUAGGCUUUAUUCUCUUUAGCUUGCAGGUAUUCCCCAUCAGAGUCGUCAGUUGCGUAUCUCGAAAACUAUGAUUCUUCGUAAGGCGUUCGCACACUCGCAGAAAAAAUUGAUUCGAACAGAGUCGUCACCUAACUUUAUUGAUUCCAAAAAAGGCAAGAGAAAAUAUCAAUCUAACCCUUAAAAGGAAAAGAAAAUGGUUGUCGUAACUAAAUUCGAGUUCGGGAGUUGAUUACGUAAGGGGAAGGUAUUAGCACCCCUCAUGUCCGUUGUACUCAAUGGGAACCUUUUAGUUAAACUUGCGAUUGAAUGUUACUUAUCGUUAAUUGUUUUCUUCGACUUAUUGAGCAAGAAAAAAGAAAAGAAAGGGACUAAACCUAAGUUUUUUAUUAUUGUGCUCGCCAAGAUUUCAGAAUCCCAUGCCUACGUAUUCUCAUGGUGCAAUGAAAAAAUCAGAGCUCCGUAGUUCAUUGUAAAAAAGAAUUGUUUGUGGAUUACUAAUAAAGAGUGAUGCUUAGAUCACAUUUGAGCAGUUAAACCUUUACUUGUUGCUCGCUCUUGGAGGAUGAAGUCUUUGUUUAUUUCGCGUUGAAAUGGAUAAAGCAUACUCGUUUCUAAAAAUGGUUUUUCAAAGGCGCACACGGGCGAAAAAUAAGUUUGAUUGGUUUGAAUAUUUUUGAGUGAUUGACGAAUAUUCAAACAGUAGGCUAAGUGCGGCCAUCACAUGAAUAUUCGGGAAUUGGAGGAGAAUAUUACUUCUGCCUCAAUCCUUUUUCAAUCAGAUUAUUUAUGAAAUUGCGUGACGAAUCAAGUCAUGUUUCUUUAACAAGCGACAAGUAUUCGAAUGGUAGGAUAAGUGCGACCAUCAUACGAAUACUCGAGGAAAGGAGGAGAAAGUUACUUUCAUCCUAAUCAUUUUUUGUCAAUGAAAGAAUUAACUUGAUUCGGUUAUUUAAAAGUGUUUUGAUGUGAUUGAAGAAUGUUCAAACGGUAGGCUAAGUGCGGCCAUCACAUGAACGCCCGGGAAGGGAGAAGAAAAUUACUUUUGUCCCAAUCCUUUUUCAAUCAAAUUAUUUAUUUCAAAAAAGAGUUUGAAAACGGACAACUUAACAUUGGAUCAAGUGUUUGAAGUUGUUUUACAAAAGAAAUUGAAUUAAGCGGAAGAGGUGAUCGAUGUUGGAUCGAGCAAUCUUGAUGGUGACAAUGGUUUGACUUUAUUAGAAAUUGGAAUUGAUUUUUGAAAUUAAAUUUGAAAAUGAUUAGAAAACGAAAUUGACUGUUGAAAUUAUGAAAAGUUAGUGAAAUUAUUUACAUAUGAGGGUAUGAAUAUGAAUAGAGAUUACCUAUCUAAAUGACUAAAUCUAAUGAAAUCAAAUAAUCGGACAUUCUACCUAUCAAAAAAAAUUAAUAUCUAAACAACUAAUCAAUUAAAUAAAUAAUUUAUUAAAUUAAAUACUAAACAAAUAAAGUCAAAAGAACAAAAAUAACAAUCAUGAGAUGGAUACAAAAUAUGAACAUGGUUGUAAACAUAGAAAAAGAGUGUAAAUCUCAAAACUCAAUUGGACCCAAACCAUAAAUAAUAAAGAAAUAAACAUAAAGAUAAAUAUAAUAAGUCAAAAAAGAAAGACAAAAAAUGAAAAAUAAAAAAGAUGCAUGAGAAGAGAGUGUGGGCGGCAUUCGUUGAAAAAAGAGAGAGAGGUUUUUUUUCAAAAUUCAAAACCCCCCAACUAACUUAUGACAUGUGGCAUGGCUUAAGAAACAAAAGAAAUAAAAUGUGUUAUAACCUCAUCUCUCUCAAUGUUAUUAUUCAGAAGAAAAAACACAAUAACACAGUCAAACUCUCCCCCUCUUUUCUCUUGAUCUCUCAUGCCUCUCUUGUUCUCUCUUCAUUAAUCAUUCUCCAUAAUUAUAAGCAAGCAAAUCAUCCAUAGGAGUAACAUAUGUAUAUGAAGAAGAAUAAAUCAUAAGCAAGCAAAUCAUCCUAGAAGAAACAUAUGUAUAUGAAUAAGAACAACUACUAUAAGUGAAACCCACAUGAAAAAGAAAGGAAAACAAAAUUACCAGGGAGGUGCUCUGGUAGUACGUCAUACAGGGGCGCGGAACUGAUCGAUGUGAUUCCAGCGAGCAGGAGGCGUGCAUAGGAGGAGGAGUGGUUAACGCUGGCGAUGCGGACAAAGUGAUGAUGAUCGGUGUGGUUCGCAUGGAGCUUCACGUAGUUGUUGUUGCUUGGUCAUGCGUGGAGUUGUAGUUGUUGUUGUUUGGCCAUGCAUGGAGGGGGAUGUAUGGUGAUGGAACUGAUGUUAGAUGUCCGGUUAUGUGAUGGUUGCAAUUUUCAUGCUAUCGGAACUGCGUUUGUGGAGGUUGUGAGUGGCGUGAACUUGCUAUUAUUUUCUUUCAUGAUUCGUUUUUCUUCGUCGUUGUGGUUAUUAGUUUGUAUAAUGGUUGGUUCAAUUAUGUUUUAGAGGGGAUAUGUUGGGUGGAAGAUAUUGUCUUUUGAAGGUGGUGAGUGUGGGAAACGGAUAUGCAGGUUGUACGUUUGUGUUGGUAUGUGGUUUGAGAUGUAUGGUGGUUUUAAUGAUGGUGGUGUGGUGUGGUGUUAGUGUGGUUUGAGAUGAGAGCCGGCGUGAAUAGUGCAAUUGAAUCAAUUUUUGAAUUUAAAACGGACCGAAAGUUGACUGAAUUUCGUCUUUUACUGAACUUAUGUGAAUGUUUUUAAUGAAUGAAUGCUUGGAAAAAUUAGGCAUGACAAUUUCUUUGGAGUUAUUUUCAUUGAGUAUUUGCUUUACAUAAUUAUUUUAUGUUUUGAGAUAUUUUGAAUUUCGCUAUGAAGUUUUUCAAAAAUAUCCUUGAGGUUGCAUAUUUUGGUUUAAGUAGAAAACUUUUAUAUUAAGAGUUAGGGUUUAGGGUGUUACAUGGAUCAGUCAGUUGACUCUGACUUCACUCUAACCGAGUAAUGUCUUUUCCCAUGUUUCCCAUAACUAGGUGAGUAAAAAGAGCACUUAGGGAGAGAGAUUCCUAAUGGCGGACGACCUAUAGGCGCCACCCCUAUUGAAGGUCACCACUCUCUCGACCUUAGCAGGUCUUUUACAAAUAUAUCACUACAUAUUUCCUCAAGCAUGCGGGCUUUGACAAAGGGCGAUGUGCUUUAAACUACAAAGAAUUGGGGAAUCAUGAAUUCAUAAGACUCACUAACUGAAAUUAUAUGUUGAUCCAGACUAGGGAGACUUCAAGUCCCUCAAGCGAGGUGUUAGACCUCUUGAACGGGGUUCUAUCAAGCCCUCAAACAAGACUUUAAGUUAAGUCUCUUGGCCUAGACUUUGGCCGCAUCCCUUGGGAGACACUUUAUGUUGAAUCCCGCCCGAGGAAACUUAGAGUCCCUCAGACGGGGAUUUAUGAUAAGCCUAUUCGAUGAGACUAUUAGUCCCUCAACCAAGGUUAAGUUGAUCUUGGAUGAUGAGACUUCAAGUCCCUCAGGUGAGGCAUUAGACCUCUUAGAUGAGACUUAUUCCAAUCCCUCAAAUAAGACUUUAAGCUAAGCCUCUUAGGCUAGACUUCGGUCGCAUCCCUUGGAUGAGACUUUAUGUUGGAUUGUGCCCAAGGAAACUCCAAGUCCCUCAGGUAGGGAGUUUAGAUAAGCAGGUUCGAUGUGACUCUUGUUCCCUCAGGAGAGGUUAGGUUAAGCCUAGAUAAUUAGACUUUAAGUCCCUCAAUCGAGGCAUUAUACCUCUCGGGUGGGACUUCUAUCGAGCCCUCAGAAAAAACUUUUAAGUUAAGUCUCUUGGGAUAGACUUCAAUCAUGUGCCUUGGGUGAUACUUUAUGUUGGAUGCCGCCUAAGGAAACUCUGAGUCUCUUAGGAAGGGAGUUUAUAUAAGCAUGUUCAAUGAGACUCUUACUCCCUAAGGCGAGGUUAUGUUGAGACUAGCUUAUGAGACUUUAAUUCCCUCAAUUGAGGUGUUAAACCUAUUGGGUGGGACUUCUAUCAAUCCAUCAAACAAGAGUUUAAGCUAAUUCUCUUAAGAUAGACUUCGGUCGCCUCCCUUGGGAGAGGCUUUAUGAUAGAUCCCGCCUAAGGAAACUCCAUGUUCCUCGGGCAGAAAGUUUAGAUAAGCAUGUUCGAUUGGACUGCUAGUCCCUUAGGCGAGGUUAUGUUGAGUAUGGCUAAUGAAACUUCAAGUCCCUCUGGAAAGGCAUUAGACCUCUUAGUCAAGACUUUUAUCAAGCCUUCAAACAAGACUUUAAGUUAAGUCUCUUGGGAUAGACUUUUAUAGUGUCCCUUAGGUGAGACUUUAUGUUGGAUCCCACCCGAGGAAACUCUGAGUACCUCAGGUGAGAAUUUUAGAUAAGCAUGUUCGAUAUGGCUUUUAUUCCCUUGGGAGAUGUUAUGUUGAGCCUGGAGGAUGAUACUUCAAGUACCUCAAGCGAGGCGUUAGACCUCUCGGGCGGGACUUCUAUCAAUCGCUCAUACAAUAAUUUAAGUUAAGUCUUUUUGGCCAGACUUAGGUCUCGUCCCUUGGUGGUUAGUUCGAUCAUAUUUCCCUAGUGGGGGGGAGGACCUUACUAUGGAAGUACAACAUAUUCAUAUUGCCUUAAUAGGCAACAAGGACCUUCGCAUUAAAGUCCAGCAUGUUCAAAUAGCCUUUCAAGGCGGAAAUAAUUUCGCAUUGAAGUCCAACAUAUUAAAAUAGACUUUUAAGGCAGGAAGGAUCUUUGUACGGAAGUCCAUCAUAUUCAAAUAGUAUUUUAAGGCGGAAAGGAUCUUCGUACGGAAAUUCAUUAUAUUCAAAUAGUGUUUUAAGGCAUCAAUGAUCUUCGCAUGGAAGUCUAGCAUGUUCAAAUAGCCCUUCAAGGAGGCAAGGAUAUUUGCGUGGAAGUCCAACAUACAUAAUAUCAUGAAAAAAUGUCUUUCUUAUUCAUAAACAUUCAAAGGUUUGUACGCAUGUGGGCAAUUUCCCCCCUAGAAAUUACAAAUAGUCUAACGGUAGUAAUACUUAAGACAGAUAGAGUCCCAAGUCCUAGGUAUAAGUCUUCCAUUCUUUUCCUGCAGCUUGUAUGCUCCAUGAGGGAUUUUCUGGAAUAUGUGAUAUGACCCAUCCUAGUCGGGAUGUCGCUUUCCUUGUUGUGUAGGUAAAACAACUUCACUGGAUCAAGUCGUCUUCUUGCAUAUUCAGACGGCUUUAUGUUUGGUGGAAAAUUCUUGAUUAUGGGCGACUUUUCUUAAUUCAUCGACCAGAUAUGCAACACAUUCCUUUCUUACUUCGUUUACCUCCUUGUUGAAUUUGGAGUGUCGCCAUAAGGGCAUUUCAGUCUCUAUGGGCAUCAUUGUAUGUCUCGUAUACCAUAAAGAAUGGAGUUUCCUUGGUAGUGGAGAGAUGGUGGUAUGAUAUGACCAUAGUAUCACAUGAAGAAGUUUUGUCCAUAAACAUUUUGCGUCAUCGAGCUUCUUCUUGAUCCCCUUCAGGAUCACCUUGUUCGUCGACUCUGCUUGGCCAUUGGCUUGCAGGUGGACAACAAAUACAAAUUUUGUUUAGACACCUAAUUCCUUGAAAAAUUAUGUGACUAUAGUGUUGGAAAACUGGGUUCUAUUGUCGGAGAUGAUGAUUCUGGGUAGCCAGAACCAGCACAUAAUCUUCUUCCAGUAGAAACAGAGGACCCUUUCAGCUAUGAUUUUGGCAACAUCUUCCGCCUCUAUCCACUUUAUGAAGUAAUAUACUCCCACAAUCAAUAAUUUUAGUUGGAUCGACGCCAGGGGGAACGUGCCUAGGGUGUCCACCUCACUGGUAGAAAGGUUACGACGAAUCAUGGAAUGAAGGAGUUCUCGUGGAGCAUGAUGAAGGUCAACAUACCUCACACACUGGUCGCACUUCUUUACAAAGGAGAUAUUAUCCUUUAGCAAGUAGACAAAUAAUACAUUGCCCUAAUUAAUUUAUAGGCGAGAGCCUUACUGCCAAUAUGACUACCACAUGCCUCUUUAUAGACUUCUGUAAGGACCAGGGCGGUUUCAUGCUCCCUCAAGCAUCACAACAUUGGGAAGGAUCAUCCUAUCUUAUAAAUUUUCCCAAUAAGGAGGGUGUAACUCGCGAAUUGUUUAUGACCUUUCCUUGUUUCCCCUUCAUCUUGUGAGAGUUCAUCCUCCUGCAGGUAUCACAAUAUGGUGACAUCCAACUUGACUCAGGGGUGACUUCUAGGGAGAAGGUUUUGUUCGCUUCAAUACUAGGGAAAGAGAAAGUCUCAUGGAUCAUUGUCCGGUUAAAGCCCACUAUUUUUUAGAUGGCGAGUUUGGAUAGGAGGUAUGCUCUAAAGUUUUGCUCUCGGGGAACAUGUUCUACUUCAAAAUACGUAAAAUAUGUUGAUAAACUUCGUAUCUUAUGUAGAUAUUUAAUUAUUUGAGGUUAUUUGGCUUGGUAUUUUCUAGAGACUUGGUUGGAGACUAACUAGGAUUCACUAUUAGCUUUCAAUAUGGAGGCUUUCAUCUUUAAGGAGAGAAACAUGGCAACAAUGAGGGCUUCGUACUCCGCUUGAUUAUUGGUGACCUUGAAUUUAAACUUCAGUGCUUGAUCGAUUAGUAUGUCGUUGGGUCCUUCUAAGAUAAUUCUCACUACAUUUUUCUUCAUGUUAGAGGCACCAUAAACUAAUAGUGUCCAUUCUAAGGGUCUCUACUCCUCCAAGCGCGAGCAAAAUUCUGCCAAAAAAUUUGUCAUAGCUUGGGAUUUAUUGCUUCCUCUCAGGAUGUACUGGAUGUCGUGUUAUGAGAGUUCCACCGCCCAAAACACCAUCUUUCCCGUCUGUCAUACCCCAAAAUUUUCCCGUUAAUCUUGCAAGGCAUUUUUCAAGGCAUUCCAACUUGUUUUUCAAGACAUUGAUCUUAAGGGAACAAAGACCCAACAUACAGGUGGCCAAAUCCAGAAAAUGGCCUAAACUGGCUUGCUCGCUAGGCGAGCAAAUCCUUCGCCUAGCGAACCCUUCGCUAUACCAUUCGCCUAGCGAAGCUUGCGAACACCAGGAAUUUUGGGCUUCAUUCUGAGCCCAUUAGGUCACAAAAAUUCAUUAUAAAUACCACAACUUCAGUCAGAACCAAGGACGGAAAAAAGGGACGGAGGAACGGAGACAGAGAGAAGGAACAGCAAACCCUGGAGGCUAACCCAGAGAAUUCAGAGCAACCCUAAAGGAAACCUUGAAGGAAAAUCUGCACAAAGAUUAUCUCCGCCCAACUCAAUCCGGCACCAACCCUAAGAGUGAUCUGCCAAUUCAACGUUGCAAUUCAAUUGCCAACAGGUUUGCACUACCACUACCGCUUUAUGCUUCCCAUUUACAUGUGGUACUAUGAUUGAAUUUAUAAAUAUAUCUUAGGUUUUGCAUGUGGAUUUAAAUAUGUAUGGAUAUCUUGAAUGUUUAACCAUAAAAUUUCUGUAAUGGAUGCCAUAGGGUGUGGAGCUUGCUGAAAUCGUACUGUUCUUAAAUUCAAAACCCGCAGCCGUUCGCUAGCACAUCGCUAAGCGAACAUGUAGCGAGGUUCGCCAGACCCUCGCUAGUGAGGCAGCAGCGAACAUGACAGUCGCUGAUUUUUCUGUUCUGAUUUUUGCUAAUCUGACAUGUUUUAUUGUAACCAUGCAUGGUUUACCUGACAUUAUUACUGUGUGUGAUUCCUUUGGUUUGGUGCAACUCUCGAUUGCACCCUGAUUUGGUAUUCUGACCUAUUUGCUGAAUAUGUAAGGGUCUCACAUACUCCUGGAAAAGGUAGCUUGCUAAGUAUUCCCCUUAUUUGUGGGAUACCCCUGUGGAGAUUCAUCCUAAUUACCUAAUUGAUUAUAAUGUGGAGAUUCAUCCUAAUUACCUAAUUGAUUAAAUGUGGAGAUUCAUCCUAAUUACCUAAUUGAUUAUAAAAUAUUUGCCUUUGAAUAUGUGAUCUUGGACCUCUCUUUGUUGCCUUACGGUAUUACGGAUUACGGUCAUGUUCCCGCGAAUGUGGAGAUGCACUUAGCAAAGACCCUUCGGUUAAAUCAUCAUGUCCCUAUAAGAUAAAUCAUAGUCCUCUCGGAUGUGCCUGCGAAUAUAUGAUUUUUGUCCCUCGAUGACCCUUCGUUGUAGCCUACGGUUAAAUGAUGAUUGUCCCUUCGAAUGCUAAGGUAUCCUUACGAAUGUUGCCUUCAAUGACCAAUCGAUGACCCUACGAUGUCCCUUUUACAUCCAAAGGAUAAAACUACUUACUUCUCAAUAGUAAGGACAGUUUUACCCUCAUAAGGAUAGGAAAUGCCCAUAAAGACCUUGGGUAGGUAUAACUCUUAAUUGCUGACUCACAACCUAAAACAUCUUUCAUACAUCACACUUUGCAAAACAUCUACUAGAAAAUCACCACUUGGUAUACAUUCAUACUAGAAUCAUUGCCAAGUUAUAUUUUUCUAAACAACUUCAAAAUUAAACGAGAUAAAUACUUUGUGUACAUUCGUACAAGAAUCAUUACAAAGUUAAGCUCUCUUUCAAAACAUUUUCUAAGCAAUUCACAAACACUUCUCAGACAAGAAAAAAACAUAAGUGAUCAAGCAUUAAGAGCCCAUGGAUAACCAUGGAUACAAAGGGGUAACACUUCCCUUUGUAUAAUGUACCUCCCGAACCCAAAAUCUAAUCAAGGUCUUUCCUGUUCUUUUCUGCCUUUCCUUAUUGGAUAAAAGAAAAGUCGGUGGCGACUCUUGCUAUCCGCGACAUUUGCUUUCCAAAGCAAAAACACACCAAGUCAGUUCACCGUAUGACACCGCCAUAUCUGAUUUUUUUGAGACUUACCGAACGAGGUAAUUGGUUUUUACGAUGAUUUUUUAACCCUAAAAAAUAAGACAAGAGCUUACUCACGACGAUACUGACGACCAAUGCUAGUUUUUUAAUCCUUUGAUAAUGUGUUUCAGGGCCUUUUAAAACUUUACUCACGAAAUACACGGGCCUUUAUGCCUUAUACGUCUCCUGGAUAAUACUGAGCUUAUCACCUGAUAUGUGACUACAAGGUAGAAAAUCAUCGACGAUCCCUCUCUCAGGCGAGUUAGAAUGGGAAAAGAUGUAAGAAAAUUAUUCAUCUUCGAGAAGGCCUCCUCGCACUCUCUGUUCCAUUCAAAUCUCUCUUUCUUCAUCAGAUCAGUGAAAAAGAGGAAAGCCUGGUCGAACGCACAAGAGAGGAAAUAAGAUACGGUAGCAAGGUGACAAGUAAGUUGUUGUACUUCCUUGAUGUUGUAAGGGUUUCUCAUAUCGAUGGUUGCCUGACAUUUAUCCGAGUUGGCUAUGAUGCCUCUCUUCGUUAGCAUUAAUCCAAGGAACUUCCCAGCCUAAACUCUGAAAGAGCAUUUGGAGGGAUUCAAGCACGUGUUGUAUUUUCUGACAAAUAGCAGGACAUCCUCCAAGUUUAUGGUAUGGUUGCACCCUUAAGUGGUUUUCUCUAUCAUAUUGUGAAUAUAGACCUCGAGGUUCCCCCUAUCUAGUGGGAGAACACAUCAUCCAUGAGUCGUUCGUAUGUGGCGCCAGCUUUAUUAAGGUCGGAGGGCUUGACAUAUUAGUAAUAGUUCGCAUGGUUCAAUAUGAAGGUCAUCUUGGGUGCAAUCAGGAGAUCCAUUUGAAUUUGGUUAUUGCCAGAAUAUGAAUCCAUAAAUCUCAACAUGUCGUAGACUAAGGACUUAUCAAUCAGGCGAUCAAUAUUCGGCAUUGGAUAUGGAUUAUUAGGAUAAACAACGUUAAAGUUGGUGAAGUCCACGCACAUGUGUCACUUGUUCUUCGCUUUGCUCACCAACACUAUGUUUGAUAACCAGAUUAGAUACUUUGUUUCCAUGAUGAACCUAGGGUUGGUUAACUUUCCUACUUUUUCAUCAAUGGUGGCUCUUUUCUCCUCGCUAACUUUCCACUUCCUUUGUGCCAAUGGAACGACAAAAAGGUUGAUGAUAUAUGGUGGAACACCACCCAGGUGUCUAUUCCUACCAUGUCAUAGGGGACCAGGAGAACAAGUUGAUGUUUCUGAUGAGUUGGUUGACUAAAUCAUGUUCUUCUUCCUCGGUGAGCGAGGUGCCUAUCAUAGUCAUUUGUUGGAAUGAGGGACUUAUUCUGCCUUCCUUCAAGUCCUAUGUGGGUGUGAGCCUUUUGUUUUCCACGCCCAUCCUAGGACCCCAAUAAUCAACGUUUGCAUCCAGAGCCUCGAGGAGGGGGCACCCAUAAAGGCGAGUUAUUCCCUUUCCAUCGCCAGGUUGCACUAAUAACAUUAUUGAGCGCUUUGUUGGUCCCCUCAAACUGUCCUCACGCGCCUACCAAGAAGUAUGUAUUUCAGGACCAAGUAUUAGGUAUAAAUAUUUGCCCCUAAUGCAUUGAUGGCGGGUCGGCCCAAGAUGAUGUUAUAGAGCAAUAAGGCGACUAUUAUGAGGUAGCUGACUUCGAUUGCCCUAGAGUCAGAUCACUCACUACAGGUUGUCUCAAGGCUUACGUGGCCCCUCACUUGUACCUACUCACUUGGAAAUUAUUUUAACAAAUUCCAGAACUCUUUAAUUUUGCUAAUAUUGAGAUGAAGUUUCUGGAAAGCAUCCUAAAAUAGGAUAAAAGCAAAACUCCUGAUAUCUUUCAAGACUCGCUUGAUAUCUGAAUUGCCAUGUUGCACAGUGAUGACCAUGGGGUCAUUAUCACGAGGAAGGACUCCAACAGAGUCCCUGUUAGAAAAGGUGAUGUUGAUUCAUGCUUCUCUUUGUUCCACUUAUGAGAACCCAAGAGAUAUUAUGUUUACGUCAGCGCCUAUAUGGCGUAUUUCCUCUAGGAGGAGUUAUAACUUCCUCCACUGGAGAAACCCCUAACUAAUGUGUUAACCCUGAAGUAUAUAGUUUUGUUGGCCAUAUUAGGGAGAUGAUACUGAAAGAGAUAUGGUCUAUGUUAGUUUUACCAGGGUCCCACAGUGGGUUCCACUGUACUUGUUAAAAGUAUAUGAGUGUGUGGUAUCCCUACGUACGUAGGGAUACUCAGAGGCCUUUGUAGUUAAAAGUGGUUAGGGAUUGCUCACGAUGGUGAGAGACCCUAUUUGGUGGUGUUUACAGUGGUGAGAGAGAGUCAACUCAAGUAAGGUAAGAGUCUAUGUGUGUAAGUGUCAUGUUGAGGGUAUAAUGUUUUGUCCCUAUCCCUUCAAGGGUGACACGCCACAAGUGCACGUCUAUGCUAAGUAGUAAAAGAUUACCGAACCACAAGGACCAAUGGAUUGAGUACCAAAAUAUGUUAUAUUAAUGUAUAUCUAGAGAGAUUAAAAUGUUGAUAUUUUAUAAAAAUAGCUUAAAUAAAAAACACUUAUCAGAAAAAUAAAUUAAAUGAAAAUUACUUAAAUCACAAUGAAGCAAACAUGACGUGGAGUCAUGGUUCUUACUCUAACAAAUUCGUACGUUCCAAGUCACUUCUAUUACGAGAGCUCAAAAUUUUUUUAUAGAAAAUGGAUAAAUAUGGAUAGCACAUGAUUUCUCCAGCGUGUUGCCAUAUGAUGACGAAUAAUUCGUUGGCUUUUGCUCGACCAGAUUAUUUGUCAAGGAUUCACUACUUUUGCUCAGCUAUAAAAAUCAGAACUUUUCUCAAGGAUAUUGAUAUUUUUUUUAAACAACUUAAAUAAAAAGAACUUAUUAGAAAAAUAAAUUAAAUGAAAAUCACUUAAAUCAUAAUGAAGCAAACAUGAUGUAGGGUCAUGGUUCUUACUCUGACACAUUCUUACGAUCCAAGUCACUUAUAUUACGAGAGCUCUAACACAAUUUAUAAAAAAUGGAUAAAUAUGGAUAACAUAUGAUUUCUCCAGUGUGUUGCCAUAUCGAUGACGAAUAAUUCGUUGGCUUUCGCUCGACUGGAUUAUUUGUCGAGGAUUCAGUACCGAUACAUAUCCUUUCAGACUACAAUCGGUACCUAAGAACACUUUACUUUCGUACGAGGGAUGGAAUGCAUGAACUUGAGUAUUAAAUGGUGUAAAAGCCAGUUAUCAAACUCCCCAAAACUUAGACCAUUUUUGCCCUUAAGCAACAAAGCUUGCUUAUGCAAAUUUUUGGAUCAAGCGGACCACUACAUGAAAAAAUUAUACGAAAAUGAAGUUAUUCAUACUCAUACGUGAGUUUUCAUUCUGAUUGGCUAAGGUCUAGUUCUCUCAGUAAUCACUUGAUACCAAAGGUAUCCGUAAGAACACUAACCACAAUAAGAUUGUGGACCUAAGUAUCCCUUUCAAACACCUCUCCAACUAUGAUUUGUACUUAAGUCUCUUUUUCAAUUUUUCCUUCCUUUUUCUUUCGCACAAUCAAAUUAAGGCAAUGGAAUUAUUUUUGUCAUCACAUGCACAAGAUCGGACGGGAGUUUUUGUGCAUACGCCAUUUUAUUUUUAUUUUUAUUUUAUUGAUGAAGUUACACACUUUUGUGGGCUUAAUUUUCCACUUUGAGACGAUGUUUGGGAUUUAACCACCGUUAGGCUAAAUAACCAGGUGAAGGUUACUCAACUUAGAAGGUGUAGUUUCCUUUUACCGUCUUUUCAUCAUUUUGAUGCUAAAAUUAUUUAUUUCCCAACCAAUAAUACAUGCAUGUGAAUCUAACUUAUGUUGGGAUGUCAUUAUAAACUAAUCGAGAGUACUUCUCAGAAACCGAGUACUAUGGCAAAAAUCUACACGUUGGACUCGCAUGUUACUUCAGGGAACAUAGAGUAUUCAGGUAAUAACUAAGUUGUCAAAAUCUAAUAACCCUAUGGAGUGAAACAUUAUAUCUAUUUCGGCUUUUAGACCAAGGGUAUAUAUAGUGCUUUCUCGCAUGUACCUUAAUGGUGUAAUUUUCCACUUGAUCAAAAUGGAGUACCAAUUAGCUUGAUUUUUGUCCUCAAAGAAAAUUUUGUGAGGGUUUGAGGAUCUAGUGCUUCCUCUUUUCCUAGGUCUUGAUGAUUCAGCAAUAUACUUCCCCUUAUCACUCCUCUUGGGUGCCAUUGUUGAUAAAAGUUGAAAACUCAAAGUGAGCUUUUUAGAAUAUUGUGCUCAGAAGUGUGAUUAGGGUGAUGAUUGAUGAAAGUUUUGUGAAGGUGGUUUAGGAUUUGGAGGUGGAAAGGGGUUAAAGGUGAGAGCUUUUGUUUGGUAACAAUAGAGUUUUUUUGGAAAGAAUUUCGAAGAAAGUGGAAGGAUGACGAAGAUGGUUGGUUUGGAGAGAGAAGGAUUUUGUGAUAAUGAGAUUUUAAAAAUCAGAUUUGAGGCUUUAAAGAUGAGUAAAUGAGGAUGAUUGGGUGAGAGAGGGGUGGCCAGGGCCCAAAAAAAUUGAAAAAAAUUGAAAAAGAUUUGGUCUUGGUGCAUUAGGCUUACGACGGCCUGUAGCACCUGCUACGGGCUCCUGUAGCAAGGACAUGGUUUAUCGAUUGGGGCGAGGCUUUUAGGGUUUGGGCAUAAGGGGUUGGUAUGGCCCGUAGCACCUGUUAGGACGCUCGUAGCAGCUACCUGGUAUUUGUAUUGGCAAUUUUGUGUGUUUUGUGUUCUUGUCAGGUUUCUCUUGGUACAGUUCCUCUAUCGAUUUUUCUCGACUUUAUCAACUUUUUUUACUUGUGUUGCUUCAUCUUUGUGAGAUUUUUAUUAACUAAAAGAAAAAAUAAAAUAAUAAGACAACAAAUUAGUGCAAAAGGUGUGGGUUGUCUCCCACGUAGCACUUUGUUUAAGGUCGUUUAGCUCGACCACCUACACCAUCAAACUUAGGAGGGUGCUUCCUUCUAGAUUGAGACCCUAACAUGUCCCUUAUCUAUUUCCGGAGCCCAACUAAUUCUAGUCAUGCAUGUCAUGCAUUCUUCUUUUUUUUUUCCUCCUUCUAUGAGGAGGCUCAUACUUUAGGUCCGAUUUUUCAUGGACCUUCUCUUUCAAUCCUUUCUUCUUCUUAGACUUACUUUUAUUCAACGCUAGUCGGGGUUUUUGGUUUUUGGGUUCAUCUUCUUGCACAAGAGGUGGUUCAAAGCCUUGGUUAGUGGGAAUGGGACUUUUGUCCAUAACUUCUCCAUAAACAUUAGCUUUGGUAUUAUCUAUCUCAACUUUGGUGUUAUCAAGCAAACACUCUUCCAACUUAUUUUUCAGGGGAGGUUUUGACGCGCUCUCUUGAACACAAUCGGUGAUCAAAUCCGCUGAACAACAAGAAUACCUCAAUGAAGGAUUUUUCAAGAGUUUUGCCAAUAUAAACUUGAAAUUCUCUUCUCCUACCUCAAAAGUUAACUUCCCUUUCUUAACAUCGAUGAUGGCUCCCGCCGUAGCUAAGAAAGGCUUGCCUAAAAGUAUCGGUAUUUAGGAUCCUCAUCGAUGUCCAUUAUGACAAAGUCUAUUGGUACAUAGUACUUUUCAACUCUCACUGAAACAUUUUCUAACACACCUAUGGGGCACUUAAACGGUCUAUCUUCCAUUUGCAUAGACAUAUUUAUCAGUUUCGUCUCACCAAUGUCUAACUUCUUACACAUAGGCAAAGGCAUUAGGUUAACACUAGCCCCUAAAUCACAAAAUGCUCUCAUAAAUUUUAUGGUGCCUAUUUGAUAGGGUAUAAAAAAACUCCCCAAAUCUUUAAACUUAGGGAUCACCAUAUUUUGAAUCAAAACACUACUAUUAAGAGUCAUAGCCACAUUUUCAUGGCCCUCUAAUUUCCUUAUAUUAGAAAGGGUUUAUUUUAAAAACUUAGAAUAAGAGGUAAUUUGAGUUAGUGUCUCGGUGAAAAUCACACUGAGGUGGAUCUUUUUAAGGAGUUCCAUGAACUUUUUGAACUGGGCAUCUACUUUGGCUUUUACAAGCCUUUGCGGGAAAGGUACAGUUGGUUUUUAGGAAGGGGAGAAACAUAAAGUGCUUCAUUCUCAACCUCUUUAACAACCUCCUUUUUAGGAGGUGUUGGCUCACUCUCUUCAACCUCUUUUUCUCUCUCACUAUAACUACCCACUUGCUUACCACUGCAAGUUAUCACAAUGUUCAAGUGGCCCUUAGAAGUUUUCUCGGACUGCCCCGUAAAUGACUCGGAAGGGACUAAAGUAGAAGCUUGUUAUUGAGCAACUUGGGAUAUUUGAGUCUCCAACAUUUUGUUAUGGGUGGCACCAUACUGAUAUAAGAAUGUUUUAAUUCAAAAUUAUUUGCCCGCAAUCUAUGGGUGCACAAUACUACAAUAUGGUUCCUCUUCGGUAAGAAUUACAUAAUCCUUAAGAGGCUUAGUGUCAACUACUUGAUCAACUACCUCUUGCUGUCAACGAUUUCAUCGUCUCUCACGUAAGAAACACUCAAUUUUGUUCACAGGUUCGACUAAACUCCUAGCAUAACGACUUCUGUGCAUAUAAGAGCAGCGAGAACUACCACAAAAUAAACAGGAAACUAAAUCUCUAGUAUAUACGGUGAUUAAACAGUAAUUCAAUAUCAAGCGCAAUCGACCUCUAGCAACGGCGCCAAAAUAUUCGUCGAGGAUUCACUACUUUUUCUCAUCUAUAAAAGUCAGAACUUUUCUCAAACUUAUCCAAGCAUUUUCAUUGUAUUGAACUCAUUUGUUUAAAAACUUGCACUCCGGUUGAACUCCUUUCAGACUAUGAUCGGUACCUUAUAACAAUUUACUUUUGUACAAGGGUUGGAAUGCAUGAACUCAUGUAUUACAAUAAAUACAGACAAAAGACUCUCGUAAUCGACUUGUGACGAAUCAUACAAAGUCAUGAGAUAAGCCCAAUGACCCUAAGUCCCUAAUGGACUACUCACCGAGGGAAAAUACAAUCAAAAUAGUGCUCAUAAUUGAAUUCAUGAUAAACAAUUGAAAAUAGAUAAGCAAUUAAAUUGAAAAUAAUAAAGAAAACAUGAUCGAAUAAACCUUGAUCAAGUUAUCCAAUGGAGACUUGAGUACAAAGAGAAUACAAAAUACAUAAAAACUGAGAAAAUAAAACUUGGAUCUCUAAACUCAAAACGAAUUGUCCAUUGAAUUCUUAUUUCCUAGGGAUAUAUGGAUCAGAUAGUUGAUUAUGACUUCCCUCUAACCGAGGAACAUCUUUUCCCAUGUUUCCUAUGAGUGAGCGAGAGAGGGCACUUAGGGCGAGACAAUUUCUAAUGGAGAGUCACGUAUAAAUGUCUCCCCUCCUAAAGGUCGCCACUUUCCCGCCCUUACUAGGCCCUUCCCAAAUAUAUCACUGCAGUGGUGAUGGUUCUUUUAGUAUGGAUAAUGAUGUUGAUUACUCUUCCUUAUGUAGUUUUUUCUCUCAUAUGGAUUUGAUCGACUUUCUAUUCUUAUGUCUAAACUCCACCUAGUUCCAGCCUAAUAGGGGUGAUUAAUAGGUUGUAUAUGUUUCUUGUAUCUAAUGUUUGGUGGGAGAUACAAGGUGUGGCUUAUCAAUGGACCUUGUAUAAAGAUGUCUCUGAUCACUAUUCAAUAAUCAGUUGGGAGGUCCUAAGCCUUUUAAAUUUAAUAACUAUUGGAUUUACCAUGGUGACUUUACGAAGGUAGUCCUUGCUAGGUGGAAUGACUAAUUUUCCUCUAUUUAGAAAGCUUUUAUUUUGAAAGAGAAGUUGAAAUCCCUAAAAUCCUUAUUCGAGGUUUGAAAUGAGAAUGUGUGUUGGGAAUCUUGACUCCCAUAUUGAUUCCUUAAGAUAAGUAGAGUCGUCUCAAGUUUUUGAAGGCCCUGUGUAAGUUAGUUGCGAUUUAACCAUGAAAAUUAAUAGAGGUUAUUAAAACACAAUUUAAAUAUGUGAUUUUUGUUGAGAUCCUAUUUAACCACAAGUUUAACCUUAGAAAAUUUUGGAUCCUGUAUGGUAGCUCGCCUUACACGCCCUCAAAGAUGGCCCUAUAGAAAAGUGGUAAGUACUAUAGACUUGAAACUUGAUCAUGAGGCUCUUUCAAUAAAUGGGGUAGUGACUAGGUCAAAGGUACUGGAAAGCCUUUAGUCCUUGAUUAAAAUCAAAGAUUCCAAUUUUUUUAAAGGUCUAAAGCCAACUAUCUUAAAAGGGAUAUGCUAAUAUUGACUUCUUCCAUGCCUAUAUGAAAAGUAGAAAUUGGAGGAAUGUGAUGUUAUCUCUUAAGGUAGGUGGAGGUGGAUGGAUUUAAAGGGUUGCAAUGAUUCAUUAAGAGGUUGUUACUUUCUUUUCUAAUCAUUUUAGUGAAUCUCUUGUUGAAUGCCCCUGGCUUGAUGAGGUGACUUUCCAUUAUCUCUAUGAAGAGGGGAAUUUUUCUCUCAGUACCCUUUUUCUUCUUUUUGAGAUUAACUCGGACGAUUGUCUAAUGUGAUGAUAAUAAAAGUUAUGGAAUUUUUUUAAAGAAGACUUGGAGAUUAUAUUUGAUUAGUAAUUUUAAAAUAGAAGUAAUACAUCCUCAAUUCUAAUUUAUAAAUAAAAAAUAUUUUUAUUUCAAAUUAUAAGUAAAAAAAAUAUUUUAUUUUAAUUUUAUCUUAAAAAUAUAUACAUUAUAAGAUAAAAUUAAAAAUUUGUUAAAUUUGUUGUCUCUCGUUUUUUUUUCAUAAUCAAUAUUUAAUAAAAAUAUUUUUUAUAUGUUUAUAUAAAAUUUAUUCUAACAAAGGAUUAAAAAAUAUUAUAAGUAUUAGAUUUUGAUUUUCGUAAUAAAUAUAAUCUUUUAUCUUUAACUUUUUUUUAUAGCUGGACAAGCCAACACAACCAAACACAUAACUAAUGGGCCUUUGACCCAGUUACAUAAGGAUCCAGAUUUUUCUUUGUGGUUCCUAAAGCGUAAACCCUAGCUAGUCUGUGAAUCUUUUUGUUUCUCUCCCUCUUGAUGUGAGUGAACUUAACUUGCUGAAAGAAUCUCUUCAGAUUCCCCAUACCUCUGGAUUAUGUAACACCCACAUAUAAUAUAUGUCUAGAAUACAUAUUAUACAUAGUGUAAUACUGGUACUGAAAUACAUAAGCACCUAGGGAUAAUAAUGUACAUAUUACAUGCCCAAAAGAAAACACUACAUGGCAAUAUACACAAAGAUACCCAAAAUAAAACUAGGAACUAGAUCAUUGUAGAAUGAUCUCAAAAAAUAUCUACACAGCGGAGAAGCCAUCCAAAACAUCAGGUAAGCAAGGACAUCACUCUAUCUUGUCCUUACCCUUCGCUUGAUCGGAACUACCUGAAAAAUAAUCAACAACAUGAGGUGAGAUAAUAAUCCUAGUGGAUUCCCUAUCUUAUGGGUCCACUCGACUUUACAGGGUUUUCUUAUCAAUAUCUAACUUAAGUCAACAUAGGAAGGAAGACUUAAGCGAUGGGGAAAAGUCUCGCAAUGUAUGACAACAUGCUCCCGAGUUCUCAGAACUCAAAUAAGUCACUAUUCAGAUUCAUAAAACAUCAACCCCUAAGCGGGCCUACAUCUAGGGCAAGCUCAGUUCAUGUGAUUUCGCUAGAAUGAAAACGGGUGAAAUAAGAGUAAAAGAACCAGGCUAGCUAUAAUAGCAUGACUCGAACUGGUUUGCGUGAGGUAAGAUUAUCAGAUGCGGUAACGGUUGUUCUUGAUGUCGAGAAUAGACUCAAGUUGCUUCUAAACAAGAUCUACUUGCAACCUAGUACGAAUUGAUGUGUGUUUUGAAAUUUCACCUGGCUAAAUUUUUAAGCGAUUUCUAUACUGUAUUUUGCUUGAGGACAAGCAAAGAUCUAAGUAUGGGGGAGUUUGGAUAACGAAUGAAAUAUAUCACAUUCUAGGACUCGAUUAAUUAAAUUAAAUUAUUAUUUACUUCAGUUUAUUUCAUUUUACGCGAUAUUACUCGGUAUUUUCUUUCUAUUUGUCUCAGGUAGCUUAUUUGAAAAGGAAGUGAAAAAGGAAGAAAAGGAGGUGAAAAAGGAAAUGAAGAAGCAAAUAUCAAAAGCCAAAGCCCAGCCCAAAAAGCACAAGCGCUACGCCUGUGACGAGCGUCACACAGGCUGUGACGAGCGUCACGCUCUGCCCACUUGUGUUACGAGCGUAACACAUGGUGUGACGGACGUCACACCAUUCUCCUAUAUUUUUAGCUCCAGAAGCGCACAAAAGACGUUGAGGCCUAUUGUUACGCUUGACCGUUUGCAACGUGAAGGCUAUGUACACGGAAAACCUUUGGAAGCAGUUACAAAAGUGACUAAUAUAAAUAGUAGCUUUUGGCAAAAACCCUACGUCUCUUUUUUUCUGCUUUUUCCUCGGCCGUUUCUCUUUUCCGCGCUUUUUUCUCUUCCAGCAGUGCAAGCAUAUUUUACAGCAUUAUUUUUACAGUCUUUAUUUUUUCCCUUUGCAAUUUCUAUUUUCCUUUCACAGCAAUUAAUUAAUUUUUUGCACAAUAGUUUCUACACCGGAAACUAUUGUGUACCUUUCACUAGAUCUAACCUUACGUUAGACCCUAGAUUUUUAUUCCUUCACUUAUUUUUCUGUCUGAUUGAAGAAUUCAAGAACAAAUCCAACCGGUCUGUGGUGGAUGUUCAAGACUGCUAUUAAUUACUCAGGUUCUUUAAUUAUUGUUUGAAUUUAUAUAUGCCCUGCUUUAUUGUUGAUUUAUAUUAUUUGCCUGAGAUGAAUCUGUUUAUGCAUGAUAAUUAUUUAGAUCUGUUUAGCAUGUCUGGCUAAUUUAUUUAGGUAUCGGUAUGUAGAGUAAGCGGAAUAAAGGAAUCACAACUAAGUUGGUUUAAUUAAGUUUAAAAUAAAAUCACUCUUUUACAGUCUCAACUUACAGGUUUAAUAAACAGGUUUUUGUACGAAAGUAAAAGACAUAAAGAAGUUAAAUCAAUAGAACGAGAGUUUGAGUUUUUGACUGGACAGUGUUAAUUGGACAUUAAUUCUAGAUCAGGGCGAGAGCAAUUUUUAGAGUUUAAUUAAAUUCUAAUCUUUUUCAAAAAGUAUUUUUAAAGGUUGAAUGUGAGGACGAGAGUUAAGCAUUUGAAUUUAAUUAUAUAACCUAAGUCAACAGAGCGAGAGUUUGAGACAAGGGUGUUUAAACAAUUAGUGUUUUCUUAAAAAGAGUUUCUACGGAUUCUAUUGUUUUCAAAAAGUGGUUUUUGAUUUAACUAAUAAGUGACAGCUACGUUAAUAUAAAAUCAUGGUUUAUUCAACAGAGCGAGAGUUUGAGAUAAGACUUUUAAUCAAUAGUAUCAACUGAAAAGAUUUAUUUUAAAACCAAGAAACCAGCGAAGAAUUGAUUCCCUAAUUACGACGAACUACAUACCGAUAUCCGUUUAGUUGAUAUUUAAUUUAGAUCCUAUUUUUUAGUUUUAACUUUUCCCCAAACAAUCAAAGUAUUACCCGCCUUAGCUUUACGAAGUAACCUUAGAUAACGGUAUAUCGAUUCAUAAGUCCCUGUGGGAUCGAUAUCUUUUAAAACUACGCGAUAACCUUAGAUAACGGUAUAUCGAUUCAUAAGUCCCUGUGGGAUCGAUAUCUUUUAAAACUACGCGAUAGAACUGUGCACUUGCAGUUUGUACCCCAAAUUCGACUCAUAAAGUCGCGAUCAUUCAUCACAGCUCCUAACGCAUGUAUGUCAACGUUAUCAUGAUAAGCUUUGUUUCUAGCAAACCAUAUAUUGUCGAUUAUGUGUAUGAACAUCUCUAUUUGCUCUGUUGUUAUGUUCAUCGUAAGAUUCUUACUCCAAUUCAUAAAUCCCUUAUGUUCUUGAUUGUUGAAGUUGAUGUUGAGGGGUGAGUUAAACCAUACAUACUUCAUCCACCAAUACUCCAUAAAACUACGAUCUAUUGUUUCAAGAGUAUCCUUACAUCUGGGGCAUAGAAAAUCAAUAGGUAUGUUUCUGUUACUUUUAACGGGGGAGUAUAUCGGAGAAUAUUCUCCAUAUGAGAUAUUGUUUCCUACUAGGGUUUUAUCUUUAACUUGAAAUAGGAAGAAUAUUAUUUUUAGCUUUUUUUAAAUAAAAUUAUUUAAUUUACUUCUAAUUAAAGUCUAUAAAAUACUAGUACUUUGAGACAGGUCAAGUUACCUAGAGUUAAGAGAAAGAAAAGGAAACUUGAAAAUGAAAAGCGAGUAAGGGACCAAAACCUGAAAAGGCUAGCAAACCUUCCACGACGAGUCAUAAAUACUCCCAAAGACAUAACCAAUGUGAACUCAAAACUCAACCAUAAACUCUUAAUUAAAUUCUUGACUUUUCAUCUCCCAAUUUCAUUGCAUUGCAUCUUCACCACCCCAUCCACCUACACUCUAUUCUCUCCCUUUUUCCCAGAUUCUCUCUUUAAUAUAUUCCUUUUUUUUUCAUCACACCGUCCAAACCUUCUCUCAUAACCUCAAACUUCAACCAUAACAUAACUCUCUCUCAAACCCAACCGACACACCUACAAACCCAAAAUUAUGCAAAAACCAAAACAUUCAUUUCUCAUCCUCUUCUUCUGUUUCUUACCUUGUUUAUCAUUCUCUUCUACUACUGUUAUAACCCAUCAAUUCAAAGAAGCACCAGAAUUUUACAAUUCCCCAGAAUGCCCCUCCAUUACCGACGCUUCAAAUUCAAAACCAACCGUCCAAGUCGCAAUGACACUCGACACAACAUACAUCCGAGGUUCCAUGGCAGCAAUCUUAUCAAUCCUCCAACACUCUUCAUGUCCACAGAACAUCUUCUUCCACUUCGUUUGUUCCUCUAACGCCUCCAAUCUAAACGCCACAAUCUCAACCUCUUUCCCAUAUCUCAAAUUCCAUCUCUACACCUUCGACGACACCACCGUCUCUGGCCUCAUCUCAACUUCAAUCCGUUCAGCUCUCGAUUGUCCUCUCAACUACGCUCGUACCUACCUACCAAAUCUCCUACCACUUUCCGUUACCCGCGUCGUCUAUCUCGAUUCCGACCUUAUUCUCGUCGACGACAUUGCAAAACUAGCACAAACACCGUUAGGAGAAGACUCUGUUUUAGCAGCACCGGAAUACUGCAACGCGAAUUUCACAUCCUAUUUCACUCCAUCGUUCUGGUCUAACCCUUCUCUGUCUCUAACGUUUGCUAACAGAAAGCCUUGUUAUUUCAACACGGGUGUGAUGGUGAUUGAUCUAGAAAGAUGGAGAGAAGGGGAUUAUACUUCAAAGAUCGAGGACUGGAUGGAGUUGCAGAAGAGAAUGAGAAUCUAUGAACUGGGUUCUUUGCCUCCUUUUUUGCUUGUUUUCGCUGGGAGUAUUGCUUCGGUGGAUCAUAGAUGGAAUCAACAUGGACUUGGAGGAGAUAACUUUCGUGGUCUUUGUAGAAAUCUUCAUCCUGGUCCAGUGAGUUUGUUGCAUUGGAGUGGAAAAGGUAAACCUUGGGUUAGAUUAGAUGCUAAUAGACCUUGUCCUUUGGAUGCACUAUGGGCACCCUAUGAUCUGUUACAAACUCCAUUUUCUCUUGAUUCUUGAUCAUUGAUACAUAUAUAUAGUAUAUAUAUAUACAUAUACAUAUACCAGUAGUUAUAUACAAUUUGAAUUUAAUGGAUGGACUUUCAUGAAAGUUUGAGACCUGAGAGUGCUUCAAAAAGGUUGAUCUUCUUUGGGGAAAUACUAUUAUUGCGAAUGAAGCAAAGAUUGGGCGGAAAAGGUGGUCUUGGAGAAGUUGGUGGUGAGUGAGAUUUAUGAUUUUUGCAAUGACAGUAAAUUGAUUCUUGUGUUGUUAAUAUUUUGUUGUUGAUAAUUGUUCUGUUAUUUCUUUCAAAUAACUGUGCAUAUCAAAAUAUCUCUGUAAUUUGGAUGCUAGAAUUCAUGAUUCAUGAACCACUCUUUAUUUUUUGAUUACUGAUAAUAACGAGGACGCAGUAAAGUUCCGUGGAGACACUAGAUUGUUUAAGUUCUUCAUCUUCUCUUCUUUAUACAUGUCUAUGCUUUUUU